rnacentral:lncRNA from 1 species
AAUUUGCAGUAUUUUUUUCUUGAGCUUGGAAUGCUUCAAGCUAAUUAAUUAAAUUCUGUUUGGUGUUAUCCAGGAAGAAAUAGAUCCACAAAAAUGGAACCUCGGGAGCCUGAACAGAACAUCACUCACAUGGAGGCUUCGCUGUAUAAGGCAGCGGCAGAAGGCAACAUUGAAGUAUUCAAUAAUAACCAGGGGCUUCAACUUGAGUCGCUAAAGACCCCAAACCAAGACAACGUGCUCCAUGUUAACUUGGCAACCCAGGAGAUUUUCAAUUUCCCAGAACUCAAAAAUCUUCUCCGUAGUACUUGCAUCAUUGAUUCGGUUUUUGAAUUCCGAAGUACUUGCAUCAUUGAUUCGGUUUUUGAAUUCCGAAGUACUUGCAUCAUUGAAUCGGUUUUUGAAUUCUUUCCUUACUACGAUAGAAAGAAAAAUAAAAUCAGAUUUUAUAAAAAAAAAAACCAGAUUUUGUCGAACAAAUUCUGAGCAAGUGUCCGUCACUGCUACUCCAAACGAAUGCUAAAGGUCAAACUCCUUUGCACGUUGCAGCAGGGUAUGGACAUUCUGCUAUUGUGAAACUUCUAAUCAAUUCUUGCGCAAAAGCUAGGGAUGGAGAUUUUGAGCUGGGAAUGGAUCAAGUAAGUGCAGUGAGGGAGAUGCUGAGGAUUAGGGAUCAAGAAUCCAACACGGCUUUACAUGAAGCAGCAGGGUGUGGCAAUGUUGAAGUGGUGAAAGCAUUGUUGGAGUUUGAAGACCCUGAUUUUCCAUAUUCUGCCAAUAAAAAACAGGAGACUCCACUUUAUAUUGCAGCUAAGAGAAGAGACGGCGGCGUGCUGAAUGUAAUAUUAGAGAAAUCAAAAUCAACAGCUCAUGGCGGCCCCCACGGUAGAACAGCUUUGCAUGCAGCAGCUAUGGCUGGAUAUUCAGGUAUGUUGUUGAGUUAAUUAGUUCCUUUUUUAUAUUAAAAUUUUGAAAUAAAUAAACAGGUCGAUUGACAUUUUUUUUUGCUUGGAUUUAGAGGCAAUAAGGGUAAUAUUAGAGACGAAGGGGAAUUUGACAAAGGAAAGAGAUGAAGAUGGGUACACCCCUCUUCAUUAUGCUGCACACUUAGGUUACAUUUCUGUUGUGGAAGAAGUGUUAAAAUGGGAUGUAUCAGCUGCCUAUAUAGGUGAUAAAAAGAGGGGGAUGACACCUCUUCUUAUGGCAGCCAGGCAAGGUCAUUUUGAAACAGUUUCAAAGAUUCAUUCUUUAUGUCCAGAUUGUUGUGAAAAAGUGGACAACAAAGGUUUGAGUUUACUUCAUUAUCUGGCUUUUAGAGGCUCUUCCUCCCUAAUACAGAGUUCAUUUUUCAAGUACUAUCCAUUUUUCAAGUAUGGUAGUAGUGAGAUUGUAUAUGGAUCAUUCGGAAAUCUAAGAAAGUUGGAAGGUGCCUUUGGAAUGACACCUCAAGAAGUUUAUAAUGCACUUCGAUCUGAGAAACAUCAUCAUAAACAGGUGUGUAUAUAUAUAUAUAUAUGUGGGGCAUUUCCAUGGCUAUGGUUUAAUUAAUAUUUAAGUUUUGAAUUAACAUAUUUAAUAAAUCUACAAUACAAUCGGCUAAUGUGGGUGGCAUGGCAGAAGCAAAUCAAAGAAUUGUUGGAAGAAAUUGAGAAUGAUCAAGUGGCGGAGGAACCAGUUUGUCGCUUUCCCAUACAAAAUGUUUCUACAGAAAGUUUGGAGAAGCAAAGAGAGGCUCAUUUAAUAGUGGCAGCACUUAUAGCCACCGUCGCAUUCGCAGCAGCAAUAACUGUUCCAGGUGGUUUGCAGAGUGAAAAAGGGUCAGAGCAAGGCACUCCCCUUUUGAUUCAUGAGGCAGCGUUUAAAGCAUUUGUUGUUACAAAUGCAUUGGCCUUUCUUUUCUCUGUUUCUGCCCUCACCACCCACUUUGGGGUUCUGGAUAAUCUAUUUUCACGAUUUAAAUUUUAUCGUCAAACAGUUUUAUAUCGAACUCGGGUUGUUUCUGGGAUCCUUGGCUAUGCAACGUUGGCAAUGGUGAUUGCUUUCAGCACAGGUAGUUAUGUGGUCUUAAAACCUUCCCACAGACUUGCCAUUGUUUCGUGGCUCAUCGGCCCUGCCAUUUUACUCUAUUUUUAUGGAAUUUUGAAUCCUUCAAUACAUAUGGAAAUAUAAAUAUGAUAAUAUUACUUUAUCAUUGAUUACAAUGUUGUUCCAAUUCCUAAUAAAAAAAAUUAAAAAUUCUUUUUUAAAAGAUAAUUUUGAGCCUAGGAUAAAAAUUAAGAGAAAAACGUUAUUAUAUGAAAGGGAAGUUUUAACACGCUCGCGACACUCAAAAUUAGCACCUUGUUAAAUAUGAUUUGUCUACAUUCAUAAAUUAAAAUUCAUAUCUAGGUACUUAAUUAUGAUCCAAAUUUUUGAUAAAUUAAAAACAAAUAUAUUAUAUGAGUGAAUCGGUUAUUUAAUAGCAAAACAAAAAUAAGGAUCAAGAUGUAGCAUAUUCAAAUUUCAAGGGCCUUUCUUGAGGUUUUCCAUUUUAUAUUUUUUAUCAUAUAUUACACAUAUGAACAAAUAAGAAAACAUUUGGGGCCAAAUCAAAUAUUAUCCCAAAGUUCAGAAACAUUCGACGUUAAAAAUUGUGAAAUUAAAUAGAAUAGAAAACAAUAACAUUUCAAAACUAAUAAAUAUUAACAAAAAUUGUAUCCCAAUUCCACAAAUUAAAACAAGAAUGUAACCCAUCAUUAAUACACAUGAAUUUCAAGACAACUUAGCCUUGAUUUAUGGUUUGAUUAUUCCACCUUUUACGUAAAAAUUAAGGGUGGUUCAUUAAAUAUCAAAAAAUCAUAAAUUAUACAAAGUAAGAUUUAUUAAAUAUCAAUAUUGUAACUAAUUUUCCAUUAUAAUUAAAAAUUAUAUUGACGAAUCAUUGAAUAAUAUGAGAAGGUUCGCCGCUAAUUUAUUUAGCUACAUGUGAUCAGUCACUUAUAAAAUCACCUUCUAAAAAAAAUUGAAAAUUCCUUUUUAAAAAGAUAAUUUUGGGUUUAUGAUAGAAAUCCAGAUAAAAAUGUUGAGAGUUGGUUAUGCGGAAAGAAGGUUUUAAUACCCUCACGACUCUUAAAAUUGAUACCACAAUAGUUGUAAUGAUAAUAAAAAAUUCCGUCACUAUUAUGAUAAUAGUUGUGACGGUUUAAAUUAUUCCACAAUUAAAUCGUUUUUAUAAAUGUAUAAUUGUCACCUAAUUUAUUUCUCUUUGAGAAAUUAUGUAAUAGGGACAAUAUCACUAUUGUCCAAAUCAUGCUCGGAUCCUAGUUAAUUUAUAUAAAAAUCAUAUAAACCUGAUUUUACUUUGAAUUUUGGUUUUCUCAAAAUUUGGAGCAAGAUUUUUUUAACGGUGGGGUUUUAGUUGGGUUAUGGCUAUGUUGGUUGAAGAGUCUCUUCGUAAUACUAUUGUGUAUAGUUCUUAAAAUUAUACAUUAUUAAUGCUCCAAACAAAAUUAAGUAUCUAUAAAGCUCAAACAAAAACACUUGAAUUUUUUUGUAAAGAAAUGAAUGGAAUUCCGAAUUUUGUAAGUAGAGAGCAUCAAUUUUUACUAAAAAGUACUCAUGUUGCCCAAAGGACAAUAAAAAGAAGAGCUCAUGAAAGCCCAAUGGUAGAACAACUUCGCAUGCAGCAGUUAUGGCUGUAAAUGGCAAGCAAUUUAGAUAUGGAAAUAUGUUAUCAACAACUUCAUUUAUUUCCCCAAAUAUCUGUGAAAGGGAAUUAAAUCUCCAUAUGAAGCCAAAGUGGAUGCGGUUCCAAGUGUUGAGCAGCAUAGUAAGUAAUCAAAAUAUAUAUGUCGCACUGCAAGGAAUUCAUGGCUGCCUUGUCCACAACACAAGGGCUUAUAGCUGCUAAGCACCUGCUCUUAAAUUUGAUUAUGGCCUAAUAAGCAGCAUAGGGCAGCAUUGACUUCACCACAAAGAGCUGUACACCCCAUUUUCUUCCAUUCUUUUUCUUCAUUUCUUCUCCUUCUUUGUAGUUUCUUUAAACCAUAAAAAACUCGUACUUUAUUGACCUGACAUCUAACCAGAGAUAGUCGUCUUUGUUUAGUAAAAAUAUAAAGCAGUAUCCAAAUACAUCAUUAAAACAUUUCCUUUUCUUUUCUUUACAAUUAAGUCAUUAUAUAAUAAUAAUAUCUAAAGUAAGUUAUACAAAUAAUCAUUCAAUUAUUAGUGUGUAUUACUGUUUUGGUCACUCAAGUUUAAAAAAGUCUAAUUUAAUUGUUAAAAUUAUCAACAUUUAAUAUUUUGGUCACUCCUUAAAUCAUGAUCAUAAUAUUGAUAUAAUCUUUUUUUAUUGGCAUAAUAAAAAUUUAGCCCUUCAAUGUCUACAAGUUCUAUUACUUUGGUUAGUAGCGAAUCUAGGGAGGUUGGCAGGCCCAGCCCUCUAAAAUGAAAAAUUUCUAUUUAAGGCCUUUAAAAAUUCAAAUUUGUAAUGCUAAAAUUACACUCCCUUAAAAUAAUAAAAAUUUGAUUUAAUCUUUUAAAAAUUAUAAAGACAAUAAAUUAUUAAAAUGGUAAAAUUUUAUUUUUACUAUUAUAAAAAAAUACAAUUUAAUUUCGCUCCCUCCUCUAAAAUUUCAUUUAGACCCUGAUUUUUCGUAUUCUGCCAACGAAAAACAGGAGACUCCACUUUACAUAGCAGCUAGGAGGAGAGGAUCUGGGCGCUUGUUGACUCUAUUAUUAGAUCAAUUGAAAUCAACUGCUCAUUGUGGUCCCCACGGUAGAACAGCUUUGUGUUGGGUAUGGGUCCCACUAUAUGGGAAACCCAUAUUUUCUGCCAUAAUGUUUUGUCUUUCUAUUAUUAUUGAGUGUCAAAUUCUCAAUUUUAAAAAAAAAAUAGAGAGUGAGAUUGAAGCUCGUUGGAGAAAAAGAGAGAAUAAAAAAAAUCAGUUUUUCAAGCUUGGUGCAGCAGUGAUCAACUCCUCGAUCGAAGGUCCAUCUGUGGUUCGAUUGAGCUGAUUUUUAGACAGCAGCUAGGUGAUAAGGUGUUCUUGACUUUGUACGGUCGGAUUUUUCAUCCGAGACUUGUAGCGUCGGAAAUACCCUUUUUUCAGCAGCUACGUUUUUGGUGAUAUUCUCUCAUUUUUCUCUCUUUUGCUAAAGAUUACAUAUUGUUAGCCUUGUCGGAGUUGAAUGCUUGUUGUAGGCUUGAUAUUGUGAUCUUGUAGUCGAACAUUUGAUGAUAGUAGAGCUCUUUAUCGGACUCUAAAGUCCCGUGGUUUUUACCCUUGAUUUAGAGGGGUUUUCCACGUAAAAAUACCGGUGUCUCUAUUUAUUUUUGUUGUGGUUGCAUUAGUUGAUUUGUGGUUGAUUAAGGUUGCUAGAGAACAUAUCUUGUGCUAUUGUGCUUGCCAUAAUUUUUGACAGGAGUUAUAAGGAGAGAAAGAACACCGGUUGUGCUUUCGCUUUGUUUCGGUUGUUCGGUUUCUUCCCAACAAACUGGUACCAGAGCUUGGUUAUUGUGUCAGGUAAUUAUGGAAAUUAAUACGAGCAAGAUGAUUAUGUUGAAUGGCACAAAUUAUCAACUUUGGCGGAAUAAAAUGAAGGACUUGUUGUUUGUGAAGGCUUUGCAUCUUCCGGUCUUUACUACUCAAAAACCCGAUUCGAAAAGUGAUGAAGAAUGGGAAUUUGAGCAUCAACAAGUGUGUGGCUUUAUUCGGCAAUUUGUUGAAGAAAAUGUUUACAACCACAUUGAUCAAGAGACACAUGCUCGAACAUUGUGGGAGAAGCUUGAAAGCUUGUAUGCUUCGAGGUCGGGCAAUAACAAGUUGUUUUUGCUGAAGAAAAUGAUGGCGCUGAAAUAUAAAGAAGGAAUGUCUAUAGCUGACCAUGUUAGUGAAUUUCAGAGUGUGAUGAAUCAGUUGCUUGGUAUGGGUGUCAAAUUUGAUGACGAGAUUUUAGGACUUUGGUUGCUUGCUACUCUACCAGACUCUUAGGAGACCUUUCGAGUCUCACUCAUUAAUUCUGCCCCACAGGGUAUUAUUACUUUGGAUUUGGCUAAGAGUGGUGUGUUGAAUGAAGAGGUUAGAAGAAGAUCUCUGGGUUCUACAUCACAGUCCGAGGUGUUGGUUAUCGAGAAUAGGGGAGAAACAGAGACAAAGAUGGAAAGGGUAGAGAUAAAAGCCGAAGCAAGUCAAGAUCGAGAUACAAGAAUCUUGAAUGUCAUCAUUAUGGUAAGAAAGGUCAUAUCAAGAAAUAUUGCUUCAAGUGGAAGAAAGAGAACAAAGGUGGUGGUGAUAAACACGAUCGGAAUGACGAUGAAAAAUCCGAGCGUGUUGCUACUGUUACUCGUGAAGAUCUGUUAGUUAUUUGUGAUGAGAAUUUGGUCAACCUAGCAUGCGACGAAACUAGUUGGGUGAUUGAUACUGGUGCAUCACUUCAUGUCACGUCGAGGAAGGAAUUCUUCACAUCUUAUACUCCUGGUGAUUUUGGGGUAUUGAAGAUGGGUAAUGAUGGUUUGGUUUCGGUUAUUGGUAUGGGAGAUGUUAGCUUGGUGAGUAACAAUGGAACAAAGUUAACUCUCAAGGAUGUCAGACAUGCACCGGAUGUCCGUUUGAAUUUGAUUUCUGCAGGAAAGCUUGAUGAUGAGGGAUUCUGUAACACCUUCAGUGAAGGGCAGUGGAAGCUGACUAAAGGCUCCUUGGUUGUGGCUCGAGGAAAGAAGAGCUCAAAUUUGUACUUGAUGCAAGCUUUGAAUUCUCGAGAGACGGUGAAUGUGACACUGAAUGACAACUCAACUGAGUUGUGGCAUAAACGACUCAGUCACAUGAGUGAGAAGGGGCUUAGCUGUUUAGCGAAGAAGAAUCAACUUUCAGGUUUAAAGAAUGCUACACUGAAGAAUUGUGCUCAUUGUCUAGCAGGAAAGCAGAAAAGAGUUUCAUUUAGAAGCCAUCUUCCUCAUAGGAAAUCAGAGUUGCUAGAGUUGGUCCAUUCAGAUGUUUGUGGUCCGAUAAAAGUAAGAUCACAUGGUGGUGCACUUUACUUUGUGACUUUCAUUGAUGAUUGUUCAAGAAAGCUAUGGGUUUACACUUUGAAGUCUAAAAAUCAAGUUUUUGAGGUGUUUAAACAGUUUCAAGCAUCAGUUGAAAGGGAAACUGGGAAGAAGUUGAAGUGCAUUCGUACUGAUAAUGGUGGCGAGUACACAGGGUCGUUUCAUGAGUAUUGUCUGCGACAGGGAAUCAGACAUCAGAGAACACCACCAAAGACUCCACAGUUAAAUGGGUUAGCUGAAAGAAUGAACCGAACAUUGAUUGAGAGAGUCAGAUGUUUGUUGUCAGAUGCAAAGUUACCAAGAUCGUUUUGGGCUGAAGCUUUGAAUAUAGUGACACAUGUGAUAAAUCUGUCUCCUAGUGUUCCUUUGAAAGGUGAUGUGCCAGAUAGAGUUUGGUUUGGUAAAGACGUGUCAUAUGAUCACCUACGUGUGUUCGGUUGUAAAGCAUUUGUUCAUGUUCCAAAGGAUGAAAGAUCCAAGUUGGAUGCCAAGGCUCGACAAUGCAUUUUUAUUGGUUAUGGUCUAGAUGGUGAGUUUGGUUAUAGACUCUAUGAUCCAGUUCAGAAGAAACUCGUGAGAAGCAGAGAUGUUGUCUUCAUUGAGGAUCAGACCAUUGAUGACAUUGAUAAGACGGAGAAAGUGGAUUCACAAGGUAGUGGUGACUUGAUCGAUGUGAAUCCGGUUCCCCUAGACUCUUCACCAGAUCCUAUCCAGGAUGAUGUGCAUGGUGAUGUUAGUGGUAACCAUCAGACUAUAGGUGACUUUGAUACUCCCAUGGAUGAUGUUGUGAAUGAUCAACAACAAGCACCUAUAGCUCCACCAGCAGUUCCACUUCGAAGGUCUUCCAGAGAUCGACGAUCUUCUGUCAGGUAUAAUCCUGAUGAAUAUGUUCUUUUGACUGACGGGGGAGAACCUGAAUGUUAUGAAGAGGCUAUGGAGAGUGAAUGCAAAGAUCAGUGGGUUGAAGCGAUGAAAGACGAACUUCAAUCCUUGCAUGAGAACCAUACUUUUGAAUUGGUGAAACUGCCUAAGGGCAAAAGAGCUUUGAAUAAUCGGUGGGUUUACAGGUUGAAGCAAGAAGAGAAGUCUUCAUCUCCACGAUACAAAGCUAGAUUUGUCGUCAAGGGUUAUACUCAGAAAAAAGGGGUUGAUUUUGAAGAAAUAUUUUCUCCAGUUGUGAAGAUGUCCUCUAUCAGAACUAUACUGAGUUUGGUAGCUUGUUAUGACCUAGAGGUUGAACAAAUGGAUGUGAAAACUGCUUUUCUUCAUGGUGACUUGGAAGAAGAGCUUUACAUGGAGCAGCCAGAGGGUUUUGUUGCACAAGGGAAAGAGGACUAUGUGUGCAGAUUGAAGAAGAGCUUGUAUGGUUUGAAGCAAGCUCCAAGGCAAUGGUACAAGAAGUUUGAGUCUGUUAUGGGGGAGCAAGGCUACAAGAAGACUACUUCUGAUCAUUGCGUGUUUGUUAAGAGAUUCUCUGGUGAUGAUUUUAUUAUUCUUUUGCUCUAUGUUGAUGAUAUGCUUAUUGUUGGUCAGAAUGCUUCUAGAAUUGAGAAGUUGAAACAAGAGUUGAGUAAAUCCUUUGCAAUGAAGGAUUUGGGGCCAGCAAAGCAAAUUCUUGGCAUAAGACUGACACGUGAUAGAAAGGCCAAGAAAUUAUGGUUAUCACAAGAGAGGUACAUUGAGAAAGUACUUCAAAGGUUUAGUAUGGACAAAGCUAAAGCGGUGAAUACUCCAUUUGCUAUGCACUUUAGAUUGAGUGUUAAGCAUAGUCCUUCCACAGAAAAGGAGAAGGAAGAGAUGCAGAAAAUUCCUUACUCUUCAGCCGUGGGUAGUUUGAUGUACGCAAUGGUUUGCACGAGACCAGACUUGGCUUAUGCCGUUGGUACAGUUAGUCGGUUUCUUUCUAAUCCAGGCAGAGAGCAUUGGAAUGCAGUGAAGUGGAUUAUGAGAUAUCUUCGUGGCACUUCCAACAUGAAACUUUGUUUCGGCAAUGAGAAACCUGUUCUUGUUGGGUAUACAGAUUCAGACAUGGCCGGAGACAUUGACUCGAGGAGAUCUACUUCAGGUUACUUAAUCACUUAUGCAGGGGGAGCUGUGGCAUGGCAAUCGAGACUGCAAAAGUGUGUUGCAUUGUCCACCACCGAAUCAGAGUUCAUUGCAGCAACCGAAGCGUGUAAGGAGAUGCUUUGGAUGAAGAAGUUUGUGCAUGAGCUUGGUUUUACUCAGGAGAAGUAUGUCCUAUACUGUGAUAGCCAGAGUGCUAUUCAUCUUGGUAAGAACUCAACUUUUCAUGCUAGAUCUAAGCAUAUUGAUGUGAGGUACCAUUGGAUACGAGAUGUUCUUGAAGCUAAGCUGUUAGAGCUUGAGAAGAUACACACUAAUGAUAAUGGUGCUGAUAUGUUGACGAAGGCCUUACCAAGAGGAAAGUUUGAAGCAUGUUGUUUGACCUCCGGCAUGGAGGCAUUCCCCACAUAGUUGGAGGGGGAGAUUUGUUGGGUAUGGGUCCCACUAUGUGGGAAACCCAUAUUUUCUGCCAUAAUGUUUUGUCUUUCUAUUAUUAUUGAGUGUCAAAUUCUCAAUUUAAAAAAAAAACAGAGAGUGAGAUUGAAGCUCGUUGGAGAAAAAGAGAGAAUAAAAAAAAUCAGUUUUUCAAGCUUGGUGCAGCAGUGAUCAACUCCUCGAUCGAAGGUCCAUCUGUGGUUCGAUUGAGCUGAUUUUUAGACAGCAGUUAGGUGAUAAGGUGUUCUUGACUUUGUACGGUCGGAUUUUUCAUCCGAGACUUGUAGCGUCGGAAAUACCCUUUUUUCAGCAGCUACGUUUUUGGUGAUAUUCUCUCAUUUUUCUCUCUUUUGCUAAAGAUUACAUAUUGUUAGCCUUGUCGGAGUUGAAUGCUUGUUGUAGGCUUGAUAUUGUGAUCUUGUAGUCGAACAUUUGAUGAUAGUAGAGCUCUUUAUCGGACUCUAAAGUCCCGUGGUUUUUACCCUUGAUUUAGAGGGGUUUUCCACGUAAAAAUACCGGUGUCUCUAUUUAUUUUUGUUGUGGUUGCAUUAGUUGAUUUGUGGUUGAUUAAGGUUGCUAGAGAACAUAUCUUGUGCUAUUGUGCUUGCCAUAAUUUUUGACAGGAGUUAUAAGGAGAGAAAGAACAUCGGUUGUGCUUUCGCUUUGUUUCGGUUGUUCGGUUUCUUCCCAACACUUUGCAUGCAGCAGCUAUGGCUGGAGAUGCAGGUAUGUUAAUGAGUUAGUUCCAAUUUCUUUUAAAAUUUUUUGAAAUAAAAAAAGAACAGGUCUAUUGACAUUUUUUUUGCUUGGAUUUAGAGGCAAUAAGGAUAAUAUUAGCGAAGAAUGGGAAUUUGACAAAGGAAAGAGAUGAAGAUAGACACACCCCUCUUCAUUAUAUAUGCUGCACACUUGGGUUCUAGAUUAUCAGUUGUGGAAGAACUGUUAAAAAGGGAUGUGUCAGCUGCCUAUAUAGGUGAUAAAAAGAGGGGAUGACACCCCUUCUUAUGGCAGCCAGGCAAGGUUAUGUUGGAACAGUUUCAAAGAUUCUCUCUUUAUAUCCAGAUUGUUGUGAAAAGGUGGACAACGAAGGUUUGAAUUUACUUCAUUAUCUGGCUUUAAGAGACCUUUCCUCUCCAUUGAGGCGUUCUCUUUUCAAGCGUGGUGGUGUUGAAAUUGCAUAUGGAUCAGUCAGAAAUUUAAUGGAGUUAGAAGGUGUUUUUAGAAUGACACCUCAAGAAGUUUACAAUGCACUUCGAUCUGAGAAUCAUUUCGGGAAACAUCAUCAUAAACAGGUCUAUAUAUAUAUAUAUAUAUGGCAUUUCCAUGGCUACGGUUUUAUUAAUAUUUAAAUUUUGAAUUAACAUAUUUAAUAAACUUACAAUACAAUCCGCUAAUGUGGGUGGUAUGAUAGAAGCAAAUCAAAGAAUUGUUGGAAGAAAUUGAGAAUGAUCAAGUGGCGGACGAACCAGUUUGUCAUUUCGGAUUCCGAAAUAUUUCUACAGAAAGCUUGGAGAAGACAAGAGAUGCUCAUUUAGUAGUGACAGCACUCAUAGCCACUGUCACAUUCGCAGCGGCAAUAACUGUUCCUGGUGGUUUGAUUAGUGAAAAAGGGUUAGAGCAAGGCACUCCCCUGUUGAUUGACGAGGCAGCCUUUAAAGCAUUUGUUGUAACAAAUGCAAUAGCCUUUAUUUUCUCUGUUUCUGCCCUCAUCUUUCAUUUAGGGGUUCUGGAUUAUCUAUUAGCAGGAGUUUUUUUGGCUUCAAAUAGUUUUAUAUCGAACUCGGUCUAUAUCUGAGAUCCUUAGCUGUGCAACGGGGCGAUGGUGAUGGCUUUCAGCCUAGGCAAUUAUGUGGCCUUAAAACCUUCUUAUGAAUUUGCCAUUGUUUCAUAUCUCAUCUGUCCUGCCUUUUUACUUUGGAUGUAGGUAUUUUUGAAUCCUCCAUUUUAUAUGUAAAAUAUAAAUAGAUAAUAUUACUUUAUCCUCUAUUACAAUGUUGUUCCAAUUCCUAGUGCCAAUGUUACCUUAUCAAUAUUACUUUAAUUUAUUUUUGGGAUACCUUAAUAUUAACAAUUUCCAUUUAAUUCAAAUCAAUAUAAAAUUAUUAGUUGAGAGACAUACAAUUUCCAAAAAGGUAAAAAAGAUCACAAUAUUUGUAAAGUAAGAUAUAUUUAAUAUCAAAUAAUAAUAAAGUUAUUGUAAUUAAUUUUCUAUUAUAAUUAAAAAUUAAUUUGACAAAUCAGUAAUAAAAUGAGAAUUUUAGGAUUAAAAAAACACAAAAUUUUAUUUAAAAAUGGGAAGUCAUCAUAAAUCCUUUUAGCUUUUGAAUAUUUAAAAAAAAAGUUAAUAUAAGUAUCAAAAUAAUUAAGUUGCUGUAGGCUUUCUUACAGGUGGUAAAAACAAAAUCAAAACAUUCAUUAACCCAUAUAGGGGCAAAGCCAAUAAUUUUUUUUAAGGGGUUGAAAUUAAAUUGUAUAUUUUUAUGAUAGUAAUAUAUAUAUAUAUAAUUUUACCAUUUUAAUAGCAUAUAUAUUUAUAAUUUUUAAAAAAUUAAAUCAAUUUUUUAUUAUUUUUGGGAGCCAAAAUGAAAUUUUAUGAUUAUUAAUUUAAAAUUUUAUAAAUUAUAAAGGGAUUAAAACAGAAAAUUCCCAUUUUAGGGGUAGGGCCUUACCAACCCUUGGCUCUACCUUAAGCCCAUACAUUUUCAACCAACUUUGGUGAAGUCAUUUUGAGAUUUCCAAUCUAUUAUAUUUGAUGUCUCAACAAUCUAUUAUAUUUGAGCUUUCCAACCUAUUAUAUUUGAUGUCUCAACAACCUCGGCUCCUCCCUUAAUAAUAUUUGAUGUCUUUGACCCUUAUUGCUUAUCCUGAGAGUAGAUAAUUAAUGCAUUCCACUUAUUGAACAAGGUUUUAUAGACAUUAACACAAGUUAAUUAUGAUUAAGGAAAAAUUAUCGUAUGAGUUUGAGAGCAUCUCGGAGAGCAUCCUUAUCGGACUUAAAGUCAGUAGAGUAGCCGUAGAAUAGGUAAGUCUUAGAAGCAAACAAUUUGUUCCUAUAAUUUUCCUUAAGAACCUUGACAACCCUAUCUUUGUUAUCUGAUUUAAGAAUUGAAGAGUAUCUCGAAGUCUGAACUCCAAUGCUCUUAAAGUGUUAUUACGUUUUGUAGGUCCAUUCCUUUUUACUCCACAAAGCUAGAGUCGUCCAAGCCUACCCGAUUCAUCUCCAAUUAAAAGAAACUGAAAUAGAUAUGUUGUGAUAGAAUUAUAUAAAUCUAUACUUCUUAUUCUUAAAGUAAUUAUUGUUAUUAUUAUAUUAGGGAAUUUUACUAACUUUGCUUGAAAACACAACAAGAAUAAAGCAAGUAAAAUGUUGUUUUGUUUAAAUAGAAUAAAGUAUAAGUUAAAGUGUUGAAGGAAUGAAUUAUGCAUGCUAUGGGGCUUUUGUUAUACUAUGCUGAAGUGUUCAAGAAAGGAAUUAUGCAUGCCACGCUUUUGUUAUAUGCUAUGUUAAAGACUUCAAGCCAUAUAUAUAUAUGUGUGUGUGUGUGUCACUUGUCUUGAUAAAGCCACUAGGUGUCGUGGAAUAAGUAAGGCAUUUUGUAAUUUUUCUUAAUUUGUAAUUUUUUUUCUUUUAUCUUUGAAUGUUCCAAGCUAAUUGAUUAAUUGGUGUUUUCAAGGAAGAAAGCUAUGCAAUAGAUCAACAAAUAUGGGACCAUCGUUAAACGACAUUGUUAUUUCCUCCGAUGAACCUGAGAAGCCUGCAGAGAACAUCACUUACAUGGAUGCUUCAUUGUAUAAAGCUGCAGCAAUAGGCAAAAUUGAAGAAUUCGAUAAUUACCAGGGGCCUGAACUUGAGUCGCUGAAGACCCCAAACCAUGACAACGUGCUCCAUGUUAACUUGUCAACCCCUGAGCGUAUCUGGCAACGUACCAGCAGAUUAGAUUUUGUCCUAAAAAUUCUUGUCAAGUGUCUAUCACUGCUACUCCAAACAAAUGCUAAAGGUCAAACUCCAUAGCAUGUUGCAACAAGGUAUGGAGAUUCUACUAUUGUACGACUUCUAAUCCUGUUUUGUGCAAGAGUUAUUGAUAAAGAUUUAGAGAAGCUGGGAAUGGAUCAACUGAAUGCAGUGAGGGAGAUGAUCAGACAUACGGAUCAAGAAUCCAAUACGGCUUUACAUAUAGCAACACGGUAUGGCCAUGUUGAAGUGGUGCAAGCAUUGCUGGAGCAUGAAGACCCUGAUUUUCCAUAUUUUGCCAAUAUAAACCACGAAACUCCACUUUACUUAGCAGCUAGGAGAGGAAGUCGGCGCUUGCUGAGCAUAUUAUUAGAUAAAUCAAAAUCAACUGCUCAUGGUGGCCCCCACGGUAGAACAGCUUUGCAUGCAACAGCUAUGGUUAGAGAUCCAAGUAAGUUAAGUUCCAAAUUUUUUUUUGUUUGAAAUAAAUAGAGAAUAGAACCAUUGACUUUUUUUUGGGCUUGAAUUUAGGGGUUACAAGGAUAAUUCUAGAGAAGAAAGGGAAUUUGACAAAGGAAACAGAUGAAAAUGGACGCACCCCUCUUCACUAUGCUGCACACUUGGGUCACGAUGCAGUUGUGGAAGAGCUGUUAAAAUGGGAUAUAUCUGUUGCUUAUAUAGGUGAUAAAAAGUGGGGGAUGACACCCCUUCUUAUGGCAGCCAGGCAAGGUUUUUUUGGAACAGUAAGAAAGAUUCUGUCUUAUUGUCCAGAUUGUUGUGAAAGAGUGGACAAAAGAGGUUGUGUUGGUGCAGGAGGCAGCAACAAGCUGUUUUGUGUCUUGCUUGAAUAGCAAGCCUCGAGCCUUGGUGAAGAAGCAAACUCGGAAGCAGAAACAGAAAAAUGAAACUAGCUAGUGAAAAAAUAGAAAAGAGAGAAGAAGAUUGAAUGAAAAAUGAGCUGAUUUCUUUCAUUAACACAUCAACAAGGCAUUAAGCCAUUACAUAUAUCAGUCAAGAAGUAAAACAAACAAGUAAUCACCUAAUCAACUACCUAACUCCACUAAUUUGCAUUGAAACUUACAAGAUUAGCUUGUACAACUUGCAUUGCUGACUUUUCAGUCAAUCAAUAUCAAAACAUUUACCUACUUAGUUUAACAUGAACUAGAACACAAAAUGUUCAUUUGAGUAACCAAAUGAAACAAUGCAGUUUCGGUUUGCUGUUAAAGCACGAUCCCUGCAUGGCCACCUUGCAUGGUCACCUUGGCUGCUGCAUGGGGGUUGACUUCAACACUCCUCCUCAGCUUCUAUGCAGCAGACUCCUAGUUGCUUCCUUAGGUUUACAAAUCUCGAUGCACCAAGUGAUUUUGUGAAGAUAUCAGCGAUUUGAUCUUCUGAGCUGCAAUGAAUUAGCUUGAUCUCUCGAGCUUGUUCCAUUUCUCUUAUCACAUGGAGUUUGAUGUUGAAAUGUUUUGUCCUGCCAUGGAAGACAGGGUUUUUAGCAAUAGCAACUGCUGACUUGUUGUCACAAUGUAUCACAGUUGCAUCAUUCUGCUGUAGAUUCAAAUCACCCAAAAUUUUUCUCAGCCACAUAGCUUGAUUAACAGCAUUAGCAGCUGCUACAUACUCUGCUUCUGCUGUCGAUUGAGCCACCAUUGUUUGUUUUCUUGAGCUCCAACAAAUCAUAGCUGAGCCAAGAGUAAAAGCAUAGCCAGAAGUGCUCUUCAUGUCAUCCUUUGAACCAGCCCAAUCGCUAUCAGUGUAGCCAAUCAGUUUCAACUCUUCAGUCUUUCUAAACUGUAUUCCAUGGUUUAAGGUACCUUUGAUGUAUCUUAGCACCCUUUUCCCAGCCUUGUAAUGUUGCUGGUUACAGCAGUGCAUGAACCUUGAUAGCAUGCUCACAGCAAACAGAAUGUCAGGUCUUGUUGCUGUUAAAUACAGCAAACAACCAACAAGGCUCCUAUAAAAUGAUUCAUUGACAGGCUCGUGUUCUUCUUGGCUCGACAGUUUUAUGCCAACUGCCAUAGGUGUGCAUGUUGGCUUGCAAUUUUGCAUUGAAAACUUGGAUAAAACUUUCAAAGCAAACGCCUUUUGUGCCAAAAAGAUUCCUUGAUCAGCUUGUUGUAUCUCUAUUCCAAGGAAAUAAGUCAUCAACCCCAAAUCUGACAUCUCGAACAUUUCUUUCAUUUUUGCUUUGAAAUCAGCCAUCACAAGCUUGUCUCCUCCAGUCACUAGAAGAUCAUCAACAUAUAGUGACACAAUAAGCUGUGUUUCAGCUUCAUUCCUCUUAACAUAGAGUGUUGGCUCACUAGCACUCCUUUCAAAUCCCAAACUGACCAAGUAUGAGUCAAUUCGAGCAUACCAGGCUCGAGGGGCCUGUUUUAGGCCAUACAAGGCCUUUCUUAGCCUAUACACCAAAUGUUCCUUACCAGGCAUUAUAAAACCUGGGGGUUGCUCGAUGUAUAUCUCCUCUUCUAGGAAUCCAUUGAGGAAUGCAGACUUGACAUCCAUUUGGUGGAUUGUCCACUGGUUCUGAGCAGCAACUGCAAUCAGUAAUCUGAUUGUAUCGAGUCUGGCUACUGGAGUAAAUGUUUCCAUGUAGUCCAGACCAUACCUUUGACUGAAGCCCUUUACAACUAGUCUGGCCUUUAGCUUAUUUAAACUUCCAUCCGCAUUGUGCUUCACUCGAUAGACCCAUUUUACACCGAUAGUCUUUCUGAUGGCAGGCUUUUCAACCAACUCCCAUGUCUGAUUCUUUACAAUCAUGUUGAUUUCAUCAACCAUAGCUUGUUUCCAACCUUCAUCUGCCUCAGCCUCUUCAAAACUGCUAGGUUCUGCUAUUGCAACCUGUGCCCUUUCAUAAAUAUCUUCUAGGAGCCUUGUGCCUCUCACAGGCACAUCAUCAACAUCCAUUUCAGGUCCUAGCUGCUCAAGUUCAGCUUGAUUAGGCACUAGGUCUUCUAAAAUUGUUUCUGGCUCAUUUUUCUCCCAAUUCCAGCAGGCUUUUUCAUCAAAGAUGACAUCUCUGCUCACUUGGACUUUGUUUGUCAAGGGAUCCAGAACCCUGUAGCCCUUUUUGACUGAGCUGUAACCUACUAGAACACCUGGUUGAGCCCUUUUGGAGAGCUUGUCUCUCUUUGCUGCUGGUACUUGUGCAUAACACAAGCAACCAAACACCUUCAGAUGUGCCAAGGAAGGCUUGAAACUGAACCAAGCCUCGAAAGGUGUCUCGGAUGCAAGAGCUUUAGUAGGAAGCCUGUUCUGAAGGUAAACAGCAGUGUUUACUGCCUCAGCCCACAUGGUCUUGGGCAGUUUCUUUUCAAACAGAAGACAUCUGGCCAUAUCCAUCAGACUUCUAUUCUUUCUUUCAGCUACCCCAUUCUGCUGAGGUGUGUAGACAUUUGUAAGCUGAUGUUUGAUACUAGCAUCAUUGCAAAUGGCUUGAAACUGAGCUGAAGUGUACUCAGUGCCAUUGUCAGUCCUUAUCGAUUUCAGCUUGCAACCUGUUUCUGUUUCUACAGCAUUUUUAAACUUCACAAACACUUGAGCUACCUCAGACUUGUGUUUUAAAAAGAAAAUCCAGCAAAACCUUGUAAGGUCAUCAAUAAAGAGGAUGAAAUACCUGUUUUUGCUGAGUGAUUCAGUCCUCAUCGGGCCACAUACAUCAGAGUGCACCAGCUGCAGUCUUUCAGUAGCUCUCCAAGCUGAAUUUGUAGGAAAUGGCAGUCUUGCCUGUUUCCCCAUUUGGCAAACUUCACACACAUCAUCAUGCUCCACUGAGCUGGUGAAGUUUUCUGCCAUGCCCUCUUUGGCCAAUCGAGCCAUUGAUCUAAAGUUGGCAUGUCCAAGCCUUUGAUGCCAAAGCUUGAAGUCAUCAACAGAAGUUGUGUAUGCUGAGUUUGAGUCAUUUGCCCAGUGAACCUCAAAGCAUUUAUCAGUCAUUGUGACUGUCAUAAGGCUUGAUCCACUUGGAUCAGCAAUGUGGCAUUGUUUGUCCUUGAACACAACAGAAUAACCUUUCUCGAGCAGUUGAGCUAUGCUGAGAAGGUUUCUGUCAAUCUCUGGCACCAACAGCACAUUUGGAAUGAUCUUGUUGCCUGUGGGAGUACAUAUCAGCACUUCUCCUCUUCCUUCAGCCCUUAUAAACUGACCAUUUCCAACAUUGACCUUGGUUUUAUAACUUCUAUCCAAGGUUUUAAACAAAGAGGCAUCUGGUGACAUGUGGUUAGUGCAACCACUGUCCAGCAACCAGCUUUUUGAGCAUUUCUUCUCAGCAGCUAAACAGGAAACAGCAAAGACCUGUUCUUCUUGGUCACUACUGUCCUCAGCUACUCGAGCUUCAACCUUUGACUGCUGAAAUUGAUUCUGCCUUGGCUUACUCCUGUUUUUGCAGACCCUUUCAACAUGGCCCUUCUUCUUGCAGUGUUGGCAUACUGCAUCUGGCCUAAACCAGCAUCUGUCUUCUGGAUGGCCAGGCUUCUUGCAAUAUCUGCAGGGCUGGUCAUUGCUCCUUGCAGCAUCAGGCUUAGGCCUGUUUUUCCAAGGCUUUUUACCUCUUUGAGCAUUGGUGCUCGAGGCUUCUCUGGCCUUGGCUUGAAAUGCACCUUCUUGGUGAUCUUCAGCUCUGCUAGCUCUCCUUUGUUCCUGAGCAUAGAAGGUGUUGAUUAACUCAGUCAAAGAGAUGCUAGCAAGGUCUCUUGAGUCCUCUAGGGAGGAUAUCUUGGCCUCAUAUCUCUCAGGCAAAGUGGAGAGGACUUUCUCCACAAUUCUUGCCUCAUCAAAGUGCUCACCUAGGAGCCUUAUGCUGUUAACCACUGCCAUAAUUCUAUCUGAAUACUGCUUCACUGUUUCUUCUUCCUUCAUCUUCAAAUUCUCGAAAUCCCUUCUCAAGUUCAACAGCUGCUGUUGCCUUGUUCUCUCAGUACCUUGAAACUCCUCCUUAAGCUUGUCCCAGGCCUGUUUUGGAGUCUCACAGGCCAUAAUUCUGGUAAAGAUGACAUCUGAUACACAGUUCUGAAUACAGGACAUGGCUUUGUGCCUUUUGGUCCUCUCAUCAGCAUGUUGUCUGAUCUGAGCUACUGUGGGAUUAGCCCUCAGUGGUGCUGGCUCAGCAUAUGUGUUAACAACUUCCCACAGAUCGAAGGCCUGUAGGUAAGUCUUCAUCUUGACCAGCCAUAUGUGAAAGCCUUCUCCAUUGAAGACUGGUGUGGCUGCUGGUGAAAAUCCUGAAGAAGCCAUCAAGUUCCUUGAUUUGAAGCAACAGGUCCACUAAGACAAGAGCUCUUGAUACCAAUUGUUGGUGCAGGAGGCAGCAACAAGCUGUUUUGUGUCUUGCUUGAAUAGCAAGCCUCGAGCCUUGGUGAAGAAGCAAACUCGGAAGCAGAAACAGAAAAAUGAAACUAGCUAGUGAAAAAACAGAAAAGAGAGAAGAAGAUUGAAUGAAAAAUGAGCUGAUUUCUUUCAUUAACACAUCAACAAGGCAUUAAGCCAUUACAUAUAUCAGUCAAGAAGUAAAACAAACAAGUAAUCACCUAAUCAACUACCUAACUCCACUAAUUUGCAUUGAAACUUACAAGAUUAGCUUGUACAACUUGCAUUGCUGACUUUUCAGUCAAUCAAUAUCAAAACAUUUACCUACUUAGUUUAACAUGAACUAGAACACAAAAUGUUCAUUUGAGUAACCAAAUGAAACAAUGCAGUUUCGGUUUGCUGUUAAAGCACGAUCCCUGCAUGGCCACCUUGCAUGGUCACCUUGGCUGCUGCAUGGGGGUUGACUUCAACAGGUUGGAAUUUACUUCAUUUUGUGGCGUUUAGAGACCUUCCUAUUGGAUUACGCUUUUUAUUAAAGGAUGAUGAUGCUACCACUGAAUAUGGAUCAGUCAGAAAUCUAAGGGACUGGAAAGAUGCUAGUGGAAUCACACCUCAACAAGUUUUCUAUGCAUGUCAAUAUGAUAAGGAAGAGAAAAAGGUAUAUUUAUAUGUGUAUUUCUAUGCCUACGGCUAUGGUUUUAUUAAUAUUUGUGUUUUGAAUUAUGAUUAUAUAACAUAUAUAAUAUAAUGAUCUAUAAUAUAAUCGGCUAAUGUGGUAGGAGCAAAUUGUGAAAUUGUUAAAAGAAAUUGUGAAUGAAGAAGUCGCGGAGAAACCAGUUUGUCCCAUUGGCUUGCCAAACAUAUCUGCAGAUAUAAACUUAGAGAAAACAAGAGAUGCUCAUUUAGUAGUGGCAGCACUUAUAGUCACCGUCACAUUCGCAGCGGCAAUAACCGUUCCAGGUGGUUUCAAGAGUGAAGAAGGUUCAGACCAGGGCACUCCUUAUCUGAUUCAUGAGGUAGCUUUUAGAACAUUUGUUUUUAACAAAUGCAUUGGCCUUUAGUCUCUCUCUUUCUACCCUCUUCAUCCACUUUGGGAUGCUGCUUCCUCUUUUUCCAAAAUCGCUUGGUUCAAUUACAUCUAAAAUGUUCAUCGCUGAUGUGAUCCUCGGCCCUGCACUCGUUGCCAUGGGGAUUGCUUUUAGCACAGCUACUUAUGUAGUCUUAAAACCUUCGCUUGGACUUGCCACUACUGCAGUUUGCAUCAGCCCUGCCAUUAUUUUCUAUUUUUUAUUUUGCUCAAAAUUUAUGCCUGUAUACAUAAUUAAUCAUAAUUAUUUUUAAGUAAACUACACUAACAGUAACUAAAUUUUGUUUAAAAUUUUGUUACGAAGAAAUUGGACUAAGAGGUAAAAAUGGGUAAAAUGAAAAAAUUUCCGUAUAAGAGUAUUUUGGUCAUUUUUGAAGAAUUUUAUAAUCGAAAUAUUAUUUUGACAUCACGUUUGAUACUUGGUUUAAAUUUGAGCCAUUGGAUGUGAAUGAAACGAAGAGAUGGAAUGUGAACCGCAUGUUAGUAUUUUUUACCUGGCUUUGACUUGGAUAUUUUUAUUUAGGUGUUUUAAAAUUGGCCAAAGAAGGAUGAAAGCUCAUAUAAUAUAUAACACUACAUACCUGAUUCAAUCAUCAGUUCCAAGUUAUAAGGUCUCACACUUGUGUCAGAUCAACUACGAUCAAAUUUAAUACAAUCCACACCAUCAAUCAUAUAAACAUGAAAUUAUAGGCAAACAAAACAAUAUAUAAUCAAUCCCUAGUAUUAUAUAAGCUUACAAAAGCUCAUAAGCUAACCCGAGACUGAAUCAUGACUGAAUUGUAAAUAAAUUAAAUUACAAUGUUGACGUUGUGACAUCGUUACUUCCUCGUUGUGAUGUUGUCAAAUAGUUUGCCACAUCACGACGUUGCAGCGCCACUUAUUGUUUUGGCCUCGUCAAGAUGACGGUGUUUCUCAUAUUGCUGUGACAUUAUAGGUCAUUUCUUGUCGUGGUGUCAUAUGCUAUUUCUACAAAAUUUUUCUUGAUUAUGUUAAAGUUGUAUGACCCAAAUCUCAUCACUUGUUCUUACGUUAAGAAAAUUUACUAACUUUGCUUGAAAACACAACAAGAAUAAAGUAAGUAGAAUUUUAUUUUGUUUAAAUAAAAUAAAGUAUAAGUUAAAGUGUUCAAGGAAUGAAAUAUGCAUGCUAUGAGGCUUUUUUUUAUGCUAUGCUAAAGUGUUCAAUAAAGGAAUUAUGCAUCCUACGCUUUUGUUAUGCUAUGUUGAAGUGUUCAAGCAAUAAUUAUAUAUAUUAUAUGUGUCACUUGUCUUGAUAAGCCACUAGGUGUCUUGGAAUAAGUAAGGCAUUUUGUAAUUUUUCUUAAUUUGUAAUAUUUUUUUCUUUUAUCUUUGAAUGUUCCAAGCUAAUUAAAUAAUUGGUGUUAUCAUGGAAGAAAGCUGUGCAAUAGAUCGACAAAUAUGGAACCAUCGUUCAACCACAUUAUUAUUUCCUUUGGUGAACCUAAGAAGCCUGCAAACAACAUUACUUACAUGGACGUGUCGUUGUAUAAAGCUGCAGCAGUAGGCAAAAUUGAAGAAUUCAAUAAUUACCGGAGGCCUGAACUUGAGUCGCUGAAGACCCCAAACCAUGACAACGUGCUCCAUAUUAACUUAUCAACCUCUGAGUGUGUCGGGCAACGUAGCAGAUCAGAUUUUAUCGAACAAAUCCUUUUCAAGUGUCCAUCACUGCUACUCCAAACAAAUGCGAAAGGUCAAACUCCCUUGCAUGUUGCAGCAAGGAAUGGGCAUUCUGCUAUUGUGAAACUCCUAAUCAAGUCUCGUGCCAAAGCUACUGAUGAAGAUUUAAAGAAGCUGGGAAUGUAUCAAUUGAAUGCAGUCAGGGAGAUGCUGAGGAAUACGGAUCAGGAAUCCAACACAGCUUUACAUGUUGCAGCUAGGUAUGGUCACGUCGAAGAGGUGCAAGAAUUGCUGGAGUUUGAAAACCCUGAUUUCCCAUAUUUUGUCAACAGAAAUCAGGAGACUCCACUUUACAUAGCAGCUAGGAGAGUAGAUAAGCUCUCACAGAUUAUACUAUUAGAUAAAUUGGAAUCAAUUGCUCAUGGAGGCCCCUAUGGCAGAACAACUUUGCAUGCAGCAGUUAUGGCUGGAGAUGUCGGUACGUUAAGUUAGUUCCAAAUCAUUUUUGUUUGAAAUAAAUAAAGAAUCAAUUUAUUGACUUUUUUGUUUUGUUUUGUUUUGCUUGGAUUCUGAGGCAACAAAGAUAAUAAUAGAGAAUAAAGGGGAUAUGAGUAUAUGACAAAGGAAACAGAUGAAAAUGGACACACCCCUCUUCACUAUGCGGCGCACUUAGGUCACGAUUCAGUUGUGGAACAGCUGUUAAAAUGGGAUUUACUUGCUGCCUAUGUAGGUGAUAAAGAGUGGGAAACGGCACCCCUUCUUAUGGCAGCCCGGCAAGGCCAUGGACAAAUAGUAACAAAGACUUUCCCUUCUUGUCCGGGUUGUUGUGAAAAAGUGGACAAAAGGGGUUGGAAUUUUCUUCAUUUCGUGGCCAUCAGAGCAAAAGUUUUCUAGAGCGUUUAAUAAAAUUAUUUUAUAUUUUAUUAACUAAAUAACUGAAUUUAAAUAGAGAAAAGAGUCUUGGGAAAAUAAUUCCCUUAUUCUAAUAAACUAUUUAAACAUAAAAAAAUAAAUUUUCUUAUUCUAAUAAACUACUAAAAGAUAAAAUAAAAUAAUCUUAAAAUAUCUCAAUAAUUUAUUCUAAAAUUUAUCUACCUAAAUAACUUUAAAAUAUAACCUAAAAUAUAUGGAUUUCACAUAUUUCAACAUAUCUCUAUUUACAAUUCUCCAACGUGAUAAUGGUUGUAGCACUAUAUAUGGGCUAGUAAAAAAUCUAAGGCAGUGGAAAAAUGCCCUCGGAAUCACACCUCAAGAAGUCUAUGACACAUGUCGUAGUCGUUUCCAUAUCACUGAUCAGCGUACAGAGAAAACGGUAAAUUUUCUAUGGCCUAUGGCUAUGGUUUUACAUGCAUAUAUGUAAAAUACAAAGACCUAUACUACAAUACAAUCCACUUGUAAGAGGUCAAUUUUGACCUAGGUCUAAAGACCCAAAACCAAUAAAAAUAAGGCCCGUUGGCCCAAAACCUUAAAAAUUUUUAGAAUGACCAAAAAUUAUAGAGUUUAGCGGCGUUUUUAAAAAAGCGCCGCUAAUAAUAAUAAAAUCUAACAACAAUUUCAAUUAUCUCAUUUUUUGAUAUAUUCUUAAGUAAUGUUUGAAUUAUAUUUUUUUAUUAUAAGUUGAAAAAAUUAAUAUUUCGUUGUAUUUAUUAUAUAGUGGUCAAAUUUACAUUUAAAUGAUAACAAAUAAUAUUAUUUAAUACAAAAUGUUUUUAUAAUUAAAGAGAAGUCCUAACUCCUAUCUAUUUAUUAUUUUUCAAUCACAGUUUAUUUAAACUACUUUACUAGAAAAAAUAUAUUAAAUUAUGAGUAAAAUAAAAUAUCAUAAAACUUAAAUUGUUGUGUUGUAAAGAAUAAAAAAUAGAAUAAAUUUUUAUAAGAAUAAUAAAUUUUGAUAGUUCGACUAAAUAAAUCAAAGAAAGUAAUAUAAAACACCAAUUUAUACAAAAUUUUUAACUAUUAAUUAUUGUUUAAUCAAUCUUAACUAUAUUUUAUGAUUAUUAAAGAUUUAGGGAUUUUUUUAGAUGGUAUUUUAAGGAGUAGGGGGUUUGGAUUUAGGGUUUGGGAUUUAAGGUUUAGAGGUUAGGGGUUAUGCUUUAGGGUUAGGGGGGAUUUAGGGGUUAGGGAUUUGGAGUUUAGGGUUUCAAGGGUCAGGUUAGGAUUUCAAGGGUCAAGUUAGGGUUUAAGUUUAGAUUUAUUAGUUUUAUUAAUUUAUAUAUUAAAUAUGUUCUUAUAUAUUUGUAAAAUAGAUAAUAAUAAAUUUAAUAUAUUGAAAUUAUGAGUAUAGUUUAUAUCAUUUAAGAGAUAUAUAAUAGAUAGAUGAUCACUUUAUGCAUGUAGAUCGAUUGGUUAAUUUAGGGUUUAAGGUUUAUUUGAGACUUGUUAAAUGAUACAAUUAAUUAAUACUUGUAUAUUUAAAAACAUUUAACCCUAACCAUUUGAUAUUUUUGAUAUGGAUAUAUAUAUAGGUAAUUAAUUAUUUAAUUUGUAUAGGACCAAAAUAUAAGAAAAAAUAAAAUAAAAAAAUAAAAAUGAAAUAAAAAAACUAAAAUUUAUACAUGUAUCAAAUACUUUUAAAUAUUACUUAAAAUUUUAAUAAUUAUUUAUGUAAAAUUUAAAUGAAAGAUACAAUAAAUAAAUAAAUAAAAUAUGUGAGAUUUAGCGGCGUUUUUAGCAAAAACGCUGUUACUAUAUAUUCAGAUUUCCAAAAAUGGCAACGUUUCGAUAGGAUAAUUUAAAUUUAUUAGUGGCAUUUUUAUCAAAAACGCCGCAAAAGGUAGACAUUACCGGCGUUUUGGUAAAAAACGCCACAAAUAUUUAUUGCAUUUUUCGAUAUGACGUCGUUUCAGUUUAAAGAUUAAAUUUUAGUUGUGGCAUUUUUCCGAAAAGCGCCGUAAAUAAUAUUUAAACUUUGGCAAAACGGCGCCGUUUCAAUGGAAGAAUGGAAUCUUUUAGUGGCGUUUUAUUAAAACACCGCAAGGAUGUAUAAAUGUUUCUGAAAACGUCGCCGGUUCGAUUCAGGUAAUUAUUUGUGGCGUUUUUUGGGAAAACACCAGAAAGUUGCCUUAUAUUUUAAUAAAACGGCGCCGUUUCUUUCUGUACUUGAAAUUUUAGUGGCGUUUUUUAUUUAAACGCAGCAAAUGUGGAUGCAAUAGUGGCGUUUUUUGAUUGGUGGUUGAUAAAAAUGUGGUGUAUAGCAGUCUUAAUAGCAAAUUGUCAAUUUUAUGUGUUUGUUAGUUUCUCGAGAGUUGAGACAUUGACAAUUACCUUAUAGGUUUGGGACCGUUCUAUAAUAUAUCUUAGCUAUAUAUGUAUGCUUUAAAACAUCCACUAGGGUUGAAAAUUGGACCACACAACUUUUCUGCAGAAAGAAAUAUGUAUGGAGUAUAAAGAAGAAAAAGAAAAAGACAAAGAAAACCUUCUUUCAACUUUCGAUUUCUUCACUUCAAUUGGUUGAAUCGUACAAUUCAAAUUUAUUUUGUUGCGUUUAAAUACAAAAUUCAAUAGUAAAUAUAGUAAAUCAUUAUUAAAAUUAUGGUUUUAGUUUAAAGAUAUUUUUAAGUUAAAAUCUCACUAUUUAUAAAUUUUUAUAUAAAAAAUAAAAGAAUUCCUUAUUUACUUGUUCCUAAAUUUUGCAUUUAGGCUGUAGUUUCUGUGUUGCCUUGUUGCUUUGAGAUUCUUAGCUGAAACAAUGGCACCCUCAUGAAGGAAACACUGAGGUACUUAGCAGGCAUUGUAGGCCCAAAUGACUAUGUCUCUAAUAUUUGUUCUGUAACACCCCUUAUCUGAGACCGUUGCCGGAAUCCAGUACGAGAUGUCAUCCAAUUUAACUUACCAAUUCGGAGCAUAAAAAUUUGCUUUUAAAAUUAAAUUCACUGUUCACAACAAAACUGUCCACCUGCGCGACUGUCACUAAUUUAAUUAUAUCUCAAUUUACGAAACUCGAAAUUUAAAUCCGAAAAUUUUUCCUGAAACUAGACUCAUAUAAAUUCUUACCAUAAAAUUUUUAGAAUUUUUUGUUUAGCCAGUUAGUACAGUUUAUUCAUUGAAGUCUCCCCUAUUUCACUACUUGACAGUUCUGACCUCUUGGCACUAAAAAUCAAUUAACUCAUUGUACAUAAUUCAUAUAAGGUUAUAAUUUAUUUCUUUUAAAAAUAGACUCACUAAAGAAUCUAGACAUAUAAAUUAUGACCCAUAAUUAUUUCUUUACAAUUUAUAAUGACUUUCUAAAGUCAGAACAGGGGACUUCAAAAACCAUUCUGACUCUGUCUCACUAAAAUUCAAAUAACUCAAAAUAUAGAAUUCCUUUGCCCACAUCGUUUCUUUCAUGUAAAAAUAGACUUGAUAAUCUUUAAUUCUAUAUAUAAUUCACUCUCUAAUUCCAUUUAUACUAUUUAUGGUGAUUUUUCACAUUCACGUCACUGCUGCUGUCAAAGAAACUGCUUCUUUGUAUUAGCUACCAUUUACACAUACAUAACACCAAAACAUAAUCUUUGCUAACCAUUUCAAUAGCUAAUCUUAGCCAUAUCAUAUGAACACACUCAAAAUGAUUAAUACUCUAUACAUGCCAUAGUUUUAAACAUUUUGAAAAACACAUAAUACCGAGAUCGUUAUGAUAGUGUGAUACGAGCUCCGACGAUCCCCAAUUCGAACAAGCUCAAAUCACUAUAAAACAAAGGAAAGGAGAAAAUAUGUAAGCUACAAAUAGCUUAGUAAGUUACAUGUAAACAAUAAGUACUCAUUUAGUAAUUGACAUUUCUCUCAUAUAACUAAUCAAACAUUUCUUAGCAAUUUCAAUCACUUACACAUGCAUAAUCUUACCCAUUUCACUUGCACAUGCACUUAUACACUUAACAUUUAUCACAUAUGCUCAUUCUUUUAAACAUACCUGCAUACACACUUCAUUUCAUAUUCACUUCAACUCAUUAUUAAUCCCAUUGAACACUCGGAAUAUACACGGAUACAUAGAGAAUUAGCACAUAAGUGCCACACUGAUACGUAGCCGAAGCUACCACUGAAAUGUAGCCGAAGCUACCACUGAUCAAUAACACUGGAAAUGUCCACGGGCCUGCUCACACAAGCUGUCAGGUGUCUGCAACACAUGCUAGAUCACCCAACACCCGGGACUCACUGUAACACUGGUCUCUAGUGACAUGUCACUUGUAUCCACUUCUAUUCCUAAGUUCAACCGGGAAUUUACACUUAACACUUUAUUUUCAACACUUUAUCACUUGAAUAAUUCAUGAACAAUUUUCCUUCUACAUUCAAUAUUGAUUCACAUAUCAAUAAAAUUCACAAUUUAUAAAAAUAUAUUGCUAUUAUUUACACAUAACUUACCUCGGAUGCAAAACGACUAUUUUUGUAAUUUAGUCGAUAACUUUCUCUUUUCCCCGAUCACUUCCACUAUUUCUUCUUUCUUGAUCUAUAUUAACACAAUUUAAUGCAUUUUAUCAAUAUUCCAUUCAAAUACAAUUUAUACACAAUAUUUUGGCAAACUUACAUUUUUUCCCAUAACUUUUCAAAAAUUACACUUUUGUCCGAAAGCUCGUAAAAAUAAAAUUCACUAAAUUUUUAAAUUUCAAACUUCACUAUAUCAUAUUCCAUGCUCAUAACAGCCCUCAAUUUCAAAAAAUCACAACUUUAUGCACACUUUACUAUCUUUCACAAUUUAGUCCUUUUUCAACAUUUUCAUCGAAAUUCAUCUAGUAAAACUUGUAAUUAACACUUCAAACAUUCAUUAUCUAACAUCACUAAUCAAUUUACAAUUAUAUCAUGAAUGAGUCAAUUUUUAAACUUUAAUUCCAUUAAAAAUAAAUGGUAGAAACAUGAAAUUCAAGUUUCAAUAAGCAUAAAAAUACGAAAAUAAUUAAAAACAGGGCAAGAAAUCACUUACAAUUGAGCUUAAAAAAAUCAAGAACCCUAGCUAUGGUGACAUGAAUUUUUUUUUUGGCAGCAAAUGUCUGAUUUUGAAGAAGAUGGACACUUAUUUUCUCUUUAUUUUGUCUUUUAUUCAAUUUGGACAAAAAUGCCCUUGACUCAUUACUUAGAUAUUUUUCUAGAAUUACCUUUUUGUGUCCAUAACACUAAUUUAUGGUCUAAUUGCCACAUAAAUACUUCCAAUUUCAUGCAAUAAUUCAAUUAAGUCAUUUAAUCACUAAUUAGACACACUUUGCAUUUUUCUCGAUUUAGUCCUAAAAAUUCAAUUAGACACUAAAUCAUUAAAAUUUCCUAUCCAUAUUUUCACACAAUAUUUCAAUCAAUCAUUAAUUAAUAAAAAAUUAUAAAAUUAAACUAUUUCACUUCGGAUUUGUGGUUACGAAACCACUAUUCUGAUUAGGCCCUAUUUCGGGCUAUCACAUGUUCAUAUGAACUUGUUUGCGCAUACUGCUUUCGCAUUUAGGCUAUAGUUGCUGUGGCUUCAUUAAACCCCAAACCGAUUAAACGAUUAGCAUUUAGGCUGUAGUUUGUGUGUUGCCUUGUUGCUUUGAGUAAUAAGAGAAAUACGAGUAAUUAGAAAAAUUCAAGGGCCAAUCUUUUGAUUAAGUGUUAAAUUAUUAUUGGACAGCUGAUCAAUGGAUAAUCUAAUUUUGGUUUUUAAUUAAUCUCUUCCCAAGGGAUAGAAAACAGUGAGUCAUUGUUGUUUUUAAAACCUAGUUAAUAUUAAAAUCUGGUUUAGUACAUGAUGUUGAAGUUGUUGAGACUAUUGACAUGGGAAUGGCUUUUAGUGUUUGAUUUGAGUUUAUUAGCACUUGUUCACUUUUGUCUUCUGUUUAUUAGCCAAAUUUACUUCUGUUGCCUUCUGUUUUGUUUUUCUUACUUCUGUUUUUUCGGUAGUAAUGUACUUCUGUCUUUUUUUUCCAGGAUUUGCUUCGAAAUUGAGGAAAUAUAAAGUAUCUAUUCCUAUGUUUCCAUAAUUAGUUUUCUUAAAAAAAAUGUCCAAUUGUUUAAUUUUUUGUAUGGUUAUAUCUGAGCUUUAUUUAUAGUUUAAUUAUUAAUUUUGAUUAUUAGAAGGGAGUUUUAAUUACCAUUUUAGCUAAAUUUGCACGUAACUUUGCAGCUUAUUACAUUAUUUGAGGUUUACAUUAUGAUUCUAACUUCUCCACGUAUUAUUUACCCAGGCAAACACAAAUGUUUUAAACUAUUAAAUUUUUGAUUAUAAUUCUUAAAUAAUUUUAUAUAUUUGAGUAAUUGAAUAAAUUAUGGGCGAUUAAUUUAAUCGGUUUAGCAUUUAUAAAUCAUCGAUUUUCGAUAUUAUGUCAAUAAAUUAUCAGUUUUACCUCAAAUUGUAAAAAUUAUCGAUCUUAUAUUUGCAACUUGUUUUUAUGUUAAUGAUUAAUAAUAUUUACAACUUAAAGCAAAGGCAGCAGCGAGAGAAGUAGAGGUUGCAGCGAGGGAAGCAGAGCAGAGCAGAAAGUACGACGAACUCCAACAGCAACUUCAGAAUAUGAUGAAGAUGUUUCAGUAGUCGCAACAUCCGCCGUCAUAGUGUAUUGUAUAAAAAUUUUUAUCAUUUUAACUUUUAACAUUUUUGUAAAAAUAAUAUGAAUUAUAUUUUAUUUAUUGAUUUUUAUAUUAUAUUAUUCGUUUAAUUUGAAAUAUUAUAUAGAUUUAUUGCUUUUGACUGGUUUAGAUUUUGUUGCUACAGGAGGGCUGAAAAUAUGAAUUUGAAAUCAUUAUCUAUCUUUUGAAGAAUUUCAUCUGGAGUUGCAUAUAGCUAUAUAUGUCCAGAGGCCUUGAAAAUCCUUUAUUACCAGUCCAUCGGCUACUCAAUUACCCUAUUUGAAUACAUCAUGUGUCACGCUAAUCAUCCAAGCUCGUUGAGUAAUUUCUUUAAUAUUAACAAUUUAGUAAUUUAAUGAUCUUUAACAACCUUGUUUUCCCGUAUUAUAUAGUUUUAAUUAAUAUUUUAUAAAUAAAAUUAAAAAUUUAUGUAUUCAAAUUAAUCCAAAUUCACCUUACCUUUGAAUUAAUUGAUAAACUACAUUUAGAUAAAUCCAUUUAUAAUAACGUAAUUUUUUAUUUAAAUUUAUAUAUAAUUCAAUAACAACUUAAUUUUGUGUUUAAAUUUAAAUAAAAAUCAAUCUUAUAAUAUUUGUAAUUAAUAUAGAGUAGUAAACUAUUCUUAGUCAUGAAUUAAUUUCUUCCACCCAUACUUGGCUGCAAAACCAAAGGCAAUGAAAUAAACAAAGAAAAAGAGUCAAGAAUGAAGAAAUCCUAGCCUUGAUUUAUGGUUUCAUUAAUUCCACUUUUGGCUCACAAAAUGAAAAUAAGGACAAAAAGUUAGUUCAAUUCUUGAUUGAGUCUUAGCUCAGUUGUUAUUGACAUUAUCGGUGUAAGAGGACGUAGGUUCAAGUGUGCUGAAGCGUAUUAUUCUCUACCUUAUUUAAGGUUGGGGAGAGAAAAAAAAAGUUGUUCAAUUGAACUAAGGGAUCAUUAGUUAUAAUGGGAAACAUUUGUGAAAAUACUGUUUUGAGUGGUUUAGGUCAUUGUGCUCUUCAAAAAUUUGAAAUUUAAUUCUUAUAUUUUUAUUUUUAAAAAUUUAGUCCCUUUAUUUUUGAGAUCUCAAAAUUCAGGUACAAUUGCUAACUCCAUUGUUUUAAUCUUGAAAAAUUUGUAGAUUGAGAUCACAUCCUUCCAAAAUUUGCUGAAUUUUCAAAAAUAUAUAUUAAAUGUUUGAUGUGAUUAAUCUAUUUGCUUAUAAAAUAGUAUUGAUCACACUGCAAGAGACUAAUUACAGGGAAGUAACAAACAGGAAAGGCAUUUGGUAAAUUUCUGAAUUUGUAGCUUCUUUUUUUCUUGAGCUUAGAAUAUUCCAAGCUAACUAAUUAAUAUUUGUUUUGUGUUAUCUAGGAAGAAAGCUCUGCAAUAGAUCAACAAAAAUGGAACUAUCGAUAAACUUCAUGCCUAUGUCCUCCAGAAAACCUGAGGAACCUGAAGAGAACAUCACUCACAUGGAUGCUUCGUUGUACAAGGCAGCAGCAGAAGGCAACAUUGAAGUAUUCAAUAAUAUGCAGGGGCAUCAACUUGAGUCGCUAAAGACCCCAAACCAUGACAACGUGCUCCAUGUUAACUUGGCAACCCACGAGCUUGCUGCCUGGUUUUCUAAUGGAAUUCUCUCAAGAACUAGAUCCUUCCCCAAUCUAUAUUUAUUAAUCUAUUUGUUUUUGUGGAUUUUCAUUAUUAAGAAAAACAGUGAAAAAAGAUCAUGUUUUAUCGGACAAAUUCUUACCAAGUGUCCGUCACUACUACUCCAGACGAAUGCUAAAGGUCAGACUCCUUUGCACGUUGCAGCAAGGAAUGGACAUUCUGCUAUUGUGAAACUUCUAAUCAGCUCUUGCGCAAAAGCUAGAGAUGGAGAUUUAGAGAAGCUGGGAAUGGAUCAAGUAGAUGCAGUGAGGCAGAUGCUGAGGAUUACGGAUCAGAAAUCCAACACGGCUUUACAUGAAGCAGCACGGUAUGGCGAUGUUGAAAUGGUGGAAGAAUUGUUGAAGCUUGAACACCCUGUGGAAAGAUUGUUGGAGCUUGAAAAUCCUAAUUCUCCGUAUUCUGCCAACAAAAAGCAGGAGACUCCACUUUACUUAGCAGCUAGGAGAGGAGAUGAGCCUUUGCUGACUGUAAUAUUAAAUAAAUGGAAAUCAGCUGAUCAUGGUGGCCCUCAUGGUAGAACAACUUUGCAUGCAACAACUAUGGCCUUAGAUGAAGGUAUGUUGAGUUAGUUCCAUAUUUUUUUUGUAAUAAAUAAAAAAUAGAUUUAUUGACAGUUUUUUUGCUUGGGUUUAGAGGCAACAAGGUUAAUAUUAGAGAAGAAAGGGAAUUUGAUAAAGGAUACAGAUGAAGAUGGGCACACCCCUCUUCAUUAUGCUGCACACAAAGGUUACAAUUAUGUUGUGGAAGUAUUGUUAGAAAAGGAUGUAUCAGCUGCCUAUAUAGGUGAUUUAAAGUUGGGGAUGACACCCCUUCUUGUGGCAGCCAGGGAAGGUAAUGUUGGAACAGUAAAAAAGAUUCUCUCUAAGUGUCCUGAUUGUUGUGAAAAAGUGGACAAAAGAGGUUUGAAUUUACUUCAUUAUUUGGCUUUUAGAGACCGUUACUAUAAAUCAAGUCAUUCUCUUUUCAUGCCUGGUGGUACGAAGACUGAAUAUGGAUCAAUCAGAAAUCUAAGGAAGUUGAAAGGUGCCUUUGGAUUCACUCCUAAACAAGGUUAUAACUUACUUCGAUACGAGGGUCAUAACGAGAUAUCUCUGAAUGCAAAGGUGUGUAUUUAUAUGACUAUGGCUAUGGUUUUAUUAAUAAUUGAGUUUUGAAUUAACAUGUAAUGGUAUGGCAGAAGCAAGUCGAAGAAUUGUUGAAAGAAAUUGCAAGUGAAGAAGUAGCUGGGUUACAAGUUUCCCACAUUCCCUUACCAACAGUCCCUGCAGAGAGCUUGGAGAAGACAAGAGAUGCUCAUUUAGUAGUGGCAGCACUUAUAGCCACCGUCACAUUUGCAGCAGCAAUAACCGUACCUGGUGGUUUGAAUAGUGAAAAAGGGUCAGAGCAGGGCACUCCUUUUCUGAUUGAUGAGGCAGCCUUUAAAGCAUUUGUCGUAACAAAUGCAUUAGCCUUUAUUCUCUCUGUUUCGGCCCUCUCCAUUCACUUUGGGAUUCUGGAUCCUCUUUUACCAAAACUAAAAUUUUGGGGUAUUAAUCUAAUCUUAUAUCGAACUCAGUCCGUUUCUAAUCUCCUUGGCCGUGCAAUGUUUGCGUUGGUGAUUGCUUUUAGCACCAGCAGUUAUGCGGUUUUAAAACCUUCUCAUGGACUUGCCAUCGCUUCGUGUUUCAUCUGCCCUGGCUUUUUUGUUUGUUAUUACGUACAACAAUCCCGAGCUUUCGUGAAGAGGUUUAUGUAGUGAUAAUAACGAAUUUCAUCGCAAAUAUUAUAUUAUGUGUGACAAAUUUUAUUUGUCGCACUAAUUAUACCACAAUAGUUGUAGUGAUAAUAAAGAAUUUCAUCAUUAUUAUGAUAAUAGUUGUGACGGUUUAAAUAUUGUUUCUAUAAAUGUAUAAUGGUGGCCUAAUCUAUUUGUCAUUAGCAAUUCUCUUUCUUCUUGAGUAAUUAUAUAAUAGUCACACCAUAUAAUUAUUCCGAAUAAAAUUAGGCAUUUAUAAAGCUCAAACAAAAGCAUUUGAAUUUUUUGUAAUGAGAUGAAUAGAAGUUAAUUUCGAGUUUUGUAAGUAGGGAUAAUCAAUUUUUACUAAAAGGUACUCAUAUUGUGUGAAAGACAAUAAAAAGAAGAGCUCAUGGAGGCCCAUGGUAGAACAACUUUGCAUGCAGCAGUUCUGGCUGUAGAUGGCAGGCAAUUAGAUAUGCAAAUAUGUUAUCAACAACUUCAUUUAUUUCCCCAAAUAUAUGUGAAAGGGAAUUAAAUCUCUAUAUGAAGCCAAAGUGGAUGUGGUUCCAAGUGUUGAGCAGCAUAGGAAGUAAUCAAAUACAUGUUGCACUGCAAGGAAUUCAAGGCUGCCUUGUCCAUAAAGGCUUAUAGCUGCUAAGCACCUGCUCUUAAAUUUGAUUAUGGCCUAAUAAACAACAUAGGGCAGCAUUGACUUCACCACAAAGAGCUGUACACCCCAUUUUCUUCCAUUCUUUGUCUUCAGUUCUUCUCCUUCUUUGCAGUUUCCUUAAACCCAAAUUUCAACCAGUCAAUUAAAUGUUUAAAUUUGAAAAUCCCCAUACACUUCAUGCUAUUUUUUUUUUGAAUUUAGCUAUGGCAUUUACAGCUUUUAUCAAUUUAGUUCUUUUUAUUAUUUUUUAAAUUAAAUUUGACUCUUCAUCUUUCAUAAUAGAGUCCAAUUUUGCCAUAACACAAAGAGCUGUAGACCUCAUUUUCUUCCAUUCUUUUUUUCAAUUCUUCUCCUUCUUAGCAGUUUCCUUCAAAGCAAAUUUCACCAUAAAAAGCUCCUACAUCAUUGACCUGACCUCUAACCCUAUAUAUUACUAUUACUAAGCAAUAGUUUUCAAGUAUGAAAUUAUAUAUAGUUGUCGUUUGUAGGUGACUUAAAUGGAGGAUAUGCAAGCAACAAUCAGGUAUGGCAUUUGGUAAAUUUCCUAAUUUGCAGUAUUUUUUUCUUGAGCUUGGAAUUUCAAAGCUAAUUAAUUAAAUUUUGUUUUGUGUUAUCUAGGAAGAAAGUUGUGCAAUAGAUCAACAAAAAAUGGGAACAUCGAUAAAUGUUGAAAAUUGGCCAACCAUGCUGCUGUGAUAUUUUUGGUUGAAGUGCAUGCAGCUUGUAAACAUGCUGCAGCACUUAUGCUUGCUGUAACAGCAAGGUUUUCUCUUUAGUUUCAUUGUCUUCAAACUAGUUGAAAAUGAACAAGUUGAUGACAACUUGAUGCAUUAGGUGUUGAAUGACUAGUUUGGGUGGCUUGUUUAUGUGUACAAGCAAUGUUUAUCAAGUUACUAGGCUACUUAGUGGUAGUAGAUAGUAUUUGGUGAUGUAUUUGACUAUAAAUAUAUUGUUUUUCUAGUUGAAUGAAUGAGCUGAAUGAGCUAUCAGCCAUAAGCUCCCUAGCUGCACAUUUGUGAGCAAGUAAAAUUUUUCUUGUAUCUAGUUUCAUUGUUCUGUUCUCUUCUUUUGCUGCUGCCAAUGUUCCAACAAUAAACAUCAUGUUUUUAUCCUCCGGUGAACCUGAGGAACCUGAAGAGAACAUCACUUACAUGGAUGCUUCGUUGUACUAGGCAGCAGCAGAAGGCAACAUUGAAGUAUUCAAUAAGUACCCAGAGCUUGCACUUGAAUCGCAAACGACCCCAAGCAAUGACAACGUGCUCCAUGUUAACUUGGCAACCCACGAGCUUGCUACCUGGUUUUCUAAUGAAAUUCUCUCAAUAACCAGAUACUUCCCCAAAUUAUAUUGUUUUCGUCUAUUUGUUUUAGUGGAUUUUCAUUAUUAACAAAAAAAAGUGUAAAAAGAUAAGAUUUUAUAAUGACCCCAAACCAUGACAACGUGCUCCAUGUUAACUUGGCAACCGAGGAGACUGCUGCCUGGCUUUUAAACAGAUUUCUCUCAAUGCUCAACUUCCUCCCCGUAAAAUAUGUAUUCAUCACCGUAGAAUAUGUACCAUUCUAUCGCUCUUUGAUUAUUUUCAUUACCAUGAUAAGAGAAGAAAAGAGAUCAGAUUUUAUCGUACAAAUUCUCAGCAAGUGUCCGUCACUGCUAAUCCAAACGAAUGCUAAAGGUCAAACUCCUUUGCACGUUGCAGCAAGGUAUGGACAUCCUGCUAUUGUAAAACUUCUAAUCAAGUCUUGUGCAAAAGCAAGAGAUGGAGAUUUAGAGAAACUGGGAAUGGAUCAGGUAAAAGCAGUGAGGGAGAUGAUAAGGAUUAGGGAUCAGGAAUCCAAUACGGCUUUACAUGAAGCAGCACGGUGUGACAUCCAUCAUGUUCCAUUAUUAUUGUCAAAAUUACUGUUAUGCACACAACUUGACUUUGGCUGGUCACUCAUUAUCAAUGGCUCCAGUAUCAAAUUAGGGGUACUUAAUUGUGUUCUCUUGAAAUAUUGAAGAAACUAUUUGAAUACUGAAUACCAAAUUCUCGUUCCCAUUUUAGAAACUAUUUUAAUUUCUUUAAUUUGAAUAUCAAAUUCGAUCUAGGAUCAUCAAACACCCUUAUUUUUUGAAUUAAUUUUUAACGGAUUUAAGAUUAUAUUUCAUUUUCGGUUCCAUCUAAUGUGUUAUUAGUCCAAAUUAACACAUCUAUAUCUCUACUUGAUAGUCAAUAUCCUACCCCGAUAAUCAAGACAAGUUAUUUUUUAUUUUGUUUAAUGAAGAUAGCUAAGAAAUUCAUCAAAGUAUAAGAAAUUUAACUUCUGUGAGGUUAAUAUACAUUUGGUACCUAAACUUUUUUUUUUAAUUUUGUAAUUGAAUCUGGCUUUAGUGUUCAAUUUGGCAUCCAAACCAAAUAGCAUCAUAUGGAAUAAUAAAUAUUUGACAUAUGUGUUCUAGUAAAAAAAAACAUAGGUACUUAAUUGACAUAAAACAAAAGUAAAGAUACCAAAUUAAAGAUUAGAGUCAAAGCCAUGUACUAAAUAAUAAAUUAACCUUUUUUUUAAUAUUUACAUUGAAUGAAACAAAAGGUGAACCCAACAUUAGUCCAUUCACUCCAUUCCCAAGAUACUUUUAAAAAAAAGAAAAAAGAAAAAAGAAAUUAUUAACAUUAGUUCAUCUGCUUUGUUUUGAUCAACUUGUAGAUAGUUUGAAUAAAGGAUGUCGAUAAUUUUUGAAUUAUUACUAUUUUAAUAUUUUUGUCAUAUAUUUUUAAAAAAUUAGAAAAUAUAAAAGCAAAUCGAAUUUAAGCUACUAUGACUUUAAUAAUGCUAAUUUUGUAAUUUCAACCAUAACACUAUUUUUUAAAAUAAAUAUUUACAUAAAUUUUUUAAUUACAUGAUAAAUAUGUGAUUUUUUUUCUCAAUGUAUCCACUAAAGCAAGCAUAGUGAUUUAUUUUCCGCAUUUUAUAAACCUAUUAAGAGAGUAAAUGUUUAAAUAUAUAAAAAAUAUAUUAAGUGUCUCAUAAUUUUUAUUAAAAAUGAUUAAAAUUUAACACAGUAAACUCGGCCUAGACGGAAAGACUAACUUUGAGAUGUCACAUGAGCUUACCAGAACACAGUUGUACUUAGAGCUGGCUUAAUCAAUACAUAGUUAAGUCUUUAAAAAAGGUCAAUCAUUCAAAGCAUAAUUCACUCUUAAAACUUAAAGUCCGAAACCAAAUAAAUGAUUUAAACACACACGCAUAUAUUUAAAGUAAGUCCAAUAGAUGACCGAGUCCCUCGUUCGCCGGCCACUCAGUUCUGAGAGUUUCCUGAUAUCCAUUCAAUCCAGUUAGUGUGUUGCAACUUAAUAUACACAUAAAGACAAUUUGACAUGUUUAUAAUAACUCAGAUAUAAUUGGAAGUUCAGUCAGCAUACUCAGUUUUGAUCGGUCAAAUUAAUAAUUUAGUACAAUUUCGGAAACAAAACAGUUCUAGUACGCAACAAAUCAGAUACAGAAACAGGUACAGAUGUAAAUACAGAUACAAAUACAAAUACAGAUACAGAUGUAUUUAUCCUACCCCAUCCCCUAUACACCAUCUCCGACCAACCCAACACACCAGUAGGUGUAUAAUACCCGUCCAACCUUACACACCCCAUAGUGUCGGUAUGACACGUUGCAGUGCUUACAGUCUCACUGCCUAUAUAGAUACAAUUGUGGAUGGUUUAACCACCAAAUCAGUACAAAACACUUCUUCCAUUUCAUGAUCCCCGCCCCAUGCAAAUGUAGAGAGCAAAUGACAAAUAUAUAUGUUUCUUAUGCAAAUAUAAUCACAUAGUCUAGUAUAAUAGAGGGUUGAAAUUCUUAAUAAUUAUCUCAUACGGGUAUGUAGAACAAGUUUAUAAUCAUGAUAAAAUAGAUCAUAUAGUUCAGUUUAGUUCAUACAUAUCCUACGGACGGCUUACACUCAUCUCGUACAACAACUAUGGCGUUAAUAGAAAUUUUGUCAUUCAGGCUCACACACCCGUGUGGGUGGCCAUAUGGCUCCACACAGUCUGACACAUGGCUGUGUCGCUACUCGUGUACCCCAAUUCAUCAAAUCAAUGAGUUACACAGUCUAAGCACACACCCGUGUGCUGCCUGUGUACCUCACACGGUUUGACAUACACCGCUAUCCCUUGCCUGUGUGUCCCUAAUACAUAAAUAGUGAAUUACACGAUCUAGACACACGCCUGUGUGCCCCCCGUGUGACCACUACACCUUAAUUUCUCACACACGGUCUACCACACGCCCGUGUGGCUCGCCUGUAUGUCUCCAAUCCGAAGUCAGUGAGUUACACAGUCCACCACACGGUCAUGUGGCACACACGGCCUACACACACGCCUGUGUGCCAUCUGUUGCGCGGAAGCGUGUGAAAGAGUAAAAUUAUUGUACUGAAAAAUCUCACUAAGUUCAAUUCCCAGGAAAGAGAGGUAGAUCACGAAGAUCACUUAAAUACCAAGUCUUUCCUAGCCAGAAUAUCCCUCUAUCGUAAUUUAAUAGCACAAUAAAUCACUACAAUCACAUUCACAAAAUAUGCAAAACAAAUAAUAAAGAACACCAGAAUUUUAACGAGGUUCAGCAAAUUUUGCCUACGUCCUCGGGCACUACCAAAUAUAUUUCACUCCAAAAAUUACAAGUGAAAUUUACAAAUAGAGAGAGAGAAUAAUGCCUUAAGUAGAGAAUGGCAAUUAUGGGAUGAAGAAAGUAAGAAAUGGUUAGGCCUAUUUAUAGUUGAGGUUCAAGGAUCAACUUGCAAUGUCCCUAUACAAUUAGGGACCAAAAUUGCAAUUAUCCCAUGCCAACUUUUAACCCAACUUGCCAACCAAUUUUACUUUCUACUUUCGGUGCCCACCCUUUUUGACUUUUCAAACAAUGGGUGGGUUCCAAUACCAUCGAUAGUCCCGUUUCUGGCAGAGAAAAAUGCAGAAAAGAAGGAAUUUCGAUACCCACCUGUUACACGACGCUGUAGAAGCACCCAAAUGCAAUUUCCAAUUCUAAAACAAGUUCCAAACGCUCAAUUCAAUAAAACAUUUGCAAAAAAUACAAGUAACAAUAAUCAAUGUUCAUCGAAACAGCCAACUCACUACACAAAAUGGACGGAAGCCUACUUACCGCAAAUUCCCAGUACACGUUUAGUUCCUAAGUAAGGCGAGAAGCAUUAGGCAUCUUCCGGGUCUUCUCCUACAAUUCAUCGAAGUACCUGAAAUGACAAAACAAAUUAACUCAACGAAAUGAAAUUCAAAAGAAAAACCCCAAACAACAAAACCAUCACAACGAACAAAUUAAAAACACAAACUCUUAUCGUUAGCAACAAAAUCGACCACAGAAGAAUUCAAUCAGCAAUUGAUAUAAUCAACAACAAAAAUAAUACGAGGCCAAUUGUUAAAAGAAAAGAAAGAAAAAGAAACGGUAACUGAAGAAGAACAGAAAAAUAACGCAGGAGGGAAAUUUUAAGAAAACAAAUCAUAGAAUUUCAAGAAAAAAAACUAAUGUUUGCAAAUAAAAAGAAAUAUUCCUUAACCAAAUGAUACAUAGAAACUGAACUAUUAAAUUACUAGGCCAAUCAUUGACACAAGUUAGCGAAUAAGUAAGUUUGAGUCAAAAGUUCCCAACUAAAGUUCCAACAAAAGAAUAACAAUAUUUUCAAGUAUGCGACUUGAACCUCAUACCUUUAACAAACACACAAAACACAACCACUAGAACAAACACAUACUUAUUAAAAUAACUUAAUAAGAAAACUCAAAUUUUUGUUGUGAAGUUGAUGAAAUUUUAUUAAAAAUGAUUGAAUAAAAAUAAAAAUUGAAAUCAGUAAAUCGAAGGAUUUAAACGUUGAUUAAUUAUGCAUAGUUUGAGAGAAAAUUUAAGUAGACAAUUUUAAUUAAAAUUAUGAAAAAAAUAAGUAAUAAAAAAUUUGAGUCAAAUGUUGUCGUAACCAUCGCUAAUCGUAUAUAGCAAGAAUAGCAUAGUAAAAUUAUGGUGCUUUCAUCAAUUAUGGAAUCAUAUAUGGUUUUCAUUAAAUUUAAUAGCUAAAUUGCACUUUGUUCGAGGGUUUCUAUUAAAUUGAAAUUAGAAUGAAUAAACAUAGUAAAAAUAAUCAAUUUCCCUAUUUUAAAAAAAAUUAAAUUUGGCCCUCAAUUUUUUAAAAAAAAUUGAAUUGUUAUUUUUUUAAUUAAAAUAUUAAUUAAAAUUUUAAACAUGACAGCCUGCAUGGUAAUUCGCUUAUACUUUAUGCUAAUUUGUUGAAUUUUUAUGAACCUAUUAUAAUUAAAUUUUGAAAUUUGAAAUUUUUUUAUUUUUUGAAUUUUUAAAUUAAUUGUUGACAUGACAUAUAAGAUAAUAAUGCUAUAUCAACAUGAACUACAAAUGGACUGUUGUGCCAAAAUCGUUAAAUUUUUUUAUGUUAUGGUCAAUUUUUUUAAUUAAAAAAUUAUUUAACUUUUUUUAAAAGGUUAAUAACCAAAAUUAAUUCAGUGGAUGCAUGCGUACGCAUUAUCUAUAAAGCAUGUUAAAAAAUGACGGAUUUGAUGCAUCUACUUUUCAACAAUUUAGUAUUUUAACCAUCAUUAGCAACUUUGUUUUAGGGCCAUUUGAUUUCCUUUUUGCUACAAUUAAGUCAUCGUAUAAUAAUAUUUAUGGUAAGAUACACAAAUAGUUAUCAUUGUUUUGGUGAUUUGGGUUUAAUUUUUAUUAGUUAUUACUAUUAUCGACAUUUGAUAUUUUAUUCACUCUUUCAUUAAAUCAUUAGCAGAAUGCUGAUGCAACCUUUCUUUAUUGACAUUGUUGACACCAUUUUUUGAUGGAAAACGGGGUCGACUUGGGUUUUGAAAAAUGAAACGGGAGUCGCCACCAAUCCUUUUUUUUAUGAGGUGUGAUUGGAUCACCUCGAAAAGGGGUUGUUUUUAAUAAACGGUUUGAUUUUAUUAAAACAACAAGUUUGGUCCACGAAAUUCAGAAAAAUGGGUUCGGGAGUCGGUUACGCACGAGGAAGGAUUAGCACCCUCGAUACGCCCAAAAUUGGUACCUAGUUGAUUACUUAAUGUCUUAGUGUCGAAGAGUGAAAACUUUGAAGAAUUUAAAAAUACGAUCAUUGUAUUAAAAAGUUGAAAAUUUUGGGAAAAGAGGGCACAUUCCACGUUAAUCGAGAAAGAAAGCAUCAUAUCCAGUAAGUUAGGACACAAUGUCUCGAAUUCCCGAUACGCGAAUAAAAAUGGUUGUUCAAAAGAUUAUUUAACUAUUUUUGGAUAAAAAAUGGAUCACGACCAGUAAGUUAGGACACGAUCCUUUUUUAAUUCCCGAUAUCGUUUAAAACUUGAGUUUGAAAAGAUUCGUGUAAUAAAGUUUAAAAGAAUAUUCAAUUGUUUAAAUCAAAUGAAGAAAUCGCAACCCAAUACGUUAGGGCACAAUUUAUCAAAAUAUUAAACAUUGAAUAUUACAUUUAUUUCAAAAAAUCCUCGUUUCGAGAAAACAACAUGUCACAUCCAAUGCGUUAGGACACAAUAUAUUGAAUUCUCGAUAACGAACUUUUUAUCAUUUUUAAAAGAGUAAUCUCGGUUAUUUUGAUUCAACAAAGAAAAUCGGAACCCAAUACGUUAGGGCUCGAUUCUCUCAAAGAUCUCAAAUAUCGAGUGUUAUUUUUAUUUUGAAAUUUUCCAUUUUUGGAUAAAUCCGAGUAAAAAAAAUGAAUGUAAAAUAAUAAUAAUGAUGAUAAUGCAAAUAAAAUAAUACAAGCAAAAUAAGAAAAGAUAAAUAAAUAAGAUGACAAAUAUAUAAUAAAAAGAAAUCAAUAAAUAAACAAAUAAAAAUUAAAGCACUUAAGUAAAUAAUAAUAAUGAGCAUGUAAAUAAAUAAAUAAAUAAAUUAACACCAAAUAUAUAUAUGAAAAUGAAAACGUAUAUAUAGGACAUAUAUAAUAUAAGGUAUAAAAUAUAAUAUAUAUAUUAGGGAAGUAUAUAAAUACAUAAAUAUGUACAUAAAUAAUAAUAAAGGGAUAAAUGUAUGCCUAUAUAUAUAUAUCCUAAAAUAUGUCCGUAUAUAUUAAGAUAAUAAAAAUGCAUGCAUAUAUACAUAGAUUAUAAAAUAUAUAUAUGUAUAUGUUUUAAAAUGUGUAUGUAAUAACAAAAUACAUUAAUACGUAUAUAGGAUACAACAUAUAGAAUAUAAGUACAUAAUGCCCAAAUAUUUGAUUAUAAUAUCAAUAAUAAUAUUAUAAUAAUAUUGUAUAAUGAUAUUAAUAAUAUUAAAACAAGUAAUUUUAAAUAAAAUAACCUAAACAACAAAAAUGGGAUUAAAUUGAAAACGAAAUUAAAGUUUGGGCUCGAAAUAAAAAGAACGAAAGGAUUAAAAGGUAAGGCACACAAAAGAGAAGGGAUCAAAAGGGCAAUUUCCCCGCGUUGAUUAAAUGGUGCCGUUAUAGUACAGCGCAUGCAUAGGGUUCAUGGACCAAAUUGAAACAGACGCGAAAUUCGUGGCCAAAAUUAAAAUGAAACAAAAGGCAGCAUUGAAUGCAUCGCAGGAUUAAAGGGACCAAAGGCGCAAAUUAUCCAUUAGGGCAAGAGUGCGCAGGUUUUCCCUCCUUCAAACGGCACCGUUUCCUUAGGGGUAUUUAAACCCAAUUUUUCCGAAAAAAAUCAUUCAGCCACUUCUUUUUGAAAAAAACUGAAAUUUCUCCCUCUCUCUUUCUUCUCCCCAAAUUCCGGCCUAGAUCCGGCCAUGGUUUUCGGCGGGUUUCCGCUGUAGCACCACCGUGUGUGGCAGCCGGAGACCCAAAAUUGGACCUUUUUGGUCCCUUUUUGAGGCCGAUUACUCCUAGACCUCAGAUCCAGGGCUGAAACUCACGAAAAGGAGGCCGAAGACUCAAAAACGAGACAAAACCGUUUGUCUUCUCGUCCUCCGACGGGGUGCAGGGAGAAAGGUACCUUCUUUUUCUUUUAUUUACUGCCUUUAUUUAUAUAUAUGCGAACGAAAAGAAAAUAGAAUAAACUAGAAAAAUCUUUCAGAACCAAAAAGAAAGAAAGAAAAAACAACACAUUGAAUCUGCUCUUUUUAUUUUCUUUCGAUUGAAUCUGUUUUUGUUUGUUACAAAAGUUGCCUGGGGGGGCCAGAGAGUUACAUUUUGGCUUUUUUUUUUUAUAGCCGAUCUUAAUUUCUAUUUUUGUUUUCUUUUUCCUUUCUUUUCUUUGGCUGUUGCGUGUUUGCAGGUGGAGCAAGUGAGGAUGAUGGGACAUGCGCGGCGCAAGUGGGGUGAGUCGGUGGUGGCAGUUGCGGCGGUAAUGUCAGAAGGCCCUAGGUGCGGCGCACCUAGGGUUAGGGUUUCUCUUUUUUUUUAUGAUUUGUGUUUUGGGUAAUGGGUUUUGCAUUUGGGCUCCGGGAUUGGGUUAGGCUAGUUUGGCCUGGGUAGGUUUUGGGUCUGUUUGGGUUAUGGGUUGUAAUGGGUUAGGUCAAAAUGGGCCUGUACAGCUGCCCCUCUUUGCUCGUUGUCGUGUAACGAUAACAGAGUAAAGACUAAGAAAGGCCCAUUUUGCUCGGCAUCGCCGGGUCUUGACCUCUCGGUGCAUUUCUUCUUCAGAUAGUCUUCUCGCAAUCUACUGUGUCUUGUUGCUUCAAUCCACUUCACUACACUUCAAAGAGAUACGGCUUGUAGCUUCAAUCCACUCUGUUGCAACUUCAGGGGGAUGAGAUUCGAAGUAAGAUUCAUUAUUGUUGAUCUACUCCACUACUGCUUAGGGUGAUAGGACUAAUGGUUUAAAUCUGCUUCUCCACUGUAUUUAAAUCUGCUUCUCCACUGUAUUGGGAAGAUAAGAUUCACCAUCUUCGAUCUGCUCCACUACUGCUUAGGGUGACAGAAUCUGCAAUCUUUAACCUACUCCACUACUGCUUAGGGUGAUAGGACUAAUGGCUUAAAUCUGCUUCUCCACUGUAUUGGGAAGAUAAGAUUCACCAUCUUCGAUCUUCAAUCUAUUCCACUGCCAACUAAGGAGAUAGAAUUAUCGGCUUCAAUGUACUCCACUGUGGUCACAGAGAGGUAAAACCUGUCAUAUUUGAUCUGCUCCGCUGUCAGUACAGGAAGGCAAGAUCUGCUAUCUUUAGUCUGCUCUACUGUCAGUACAGGAAGGUAAGACCGGUUUCCUCGAUCUGCUUCACCGUUAAUACAGGAAGGCAAGAUUUGUUGUCUUCAACUAGCUCUAUAACAACCGAGAGAGGCAAGGUUUGUCUUUGAUCUGCUUCAUUGUCAAUGCAGGAAGGCAAGAUCUGUUGUCUUCAACCAGUUCCGCUACAACCGAGAGAGGAAAGGUUUGUGUCUUCGACCUGCUUCGCUGUCAAUGUAGGAAGGCAAGAUCUUUUGCCUUCAACUAGCUCCACCACAACCGAGAGAGGCAAGGUUUGUGUCUUCGACCUGCUUCGCUGUCAAUGCAAAAAGGCACGAUCUGUUGUCUUCAACCAGCUCCACCACAACCUAGAGAGGCAAGGUUUGUGUAUUUGACCUGCUUCACUGUCAAUGCAGGAAUGCAAGAUCUUUUGUCUUCAACUAGCUCCAUCACAACCGAGAGAGGCAAGGUUUGUGUCUUCGACCUGCUUCGCUGUCAAUGCAGGAAGGCAAGAUCUUUUGUCUUCAACCAGCUCCAUCACAACCGAGAGAGGCAAGGUUUGUGUCUUCAACCUGCUUCGCUGUCAAUGUAGGAAGGCAAGAUCUUUUGUCUUCAACCAGCUCCGUCACAACCGAGAGAGGCAAGGUUUGUGUUUUCGACCUGCUUCGCUGUCAAUGCAGGAAGGCAAGAUCUUUUAUCUUCAACCAGCUCCAUCAGAACCGAGAAAGGCAAGGUUUGUGUCUUCGACCUGCUUUGCUGUUAAUGCAGGAAGGCAAGAUCUUUUGUCUUCAACCAGCUCCAUCACAACCGAGAGAGGCAAGGUUUGUGUCUUCGACCUGCUUCGCUGUCAAUGCUGGAAGGCAAGAUCUUUUUUCUUCAACCAGCUCCAUCACAACCGAGAGAGGUAAGGUUUGUGUCUUCGACCUGCUUCACUGUCAAUGCAGGAAGGAAAGAUCUUUUGUCUUCAACCAGCUCCAUCACAAUCGAGAGAGGAAAGGUUUGUGUCUUCGACCUGCUUCGCUGUCAAUGCAAGAAGGCAAGAUUUUUUUGUCUUCAACCAGCUCCACCACAACCGAGAGAGGCAAGGUUUGUGUCUUCGACCUGCUUCGCUGUCAAUGUAGGAAGGCAAGAUCUUUUGUCUUCAACCAGCUCCAUCACAACCGAGAGAGGCAAGGUUUGUGUCUUCGACCUGCUUCGCUGUCAAUGUAGGAAGGCAAGAUCUUUUGUUUUCAACCAGCUCCAUCACAAUCGAGAGAGGCAAGGUUUGUGUCUUCGACCUGCUUCGCUGUCAAUGCAGAAAGGCAAGAUCUUUUAUCUUCAACCAGCUCCAUCACAACCGAGAAAGGCAAGGUUUGUGUCUUCGACCUGCUUCGCUGUCAAUGCAGGAAGGCAAGAUCUUGUCUUCAACCAGCUCCAUCACAACCGAGAGAGGCAAGGUUUGUGUCUUCGACCUACUUCGCUGUCAAUGCCGGAAGGCAAGAUCUUUUGUCUUCAACCAGCUCCAUCACAACCGAGAGAGGCAAGGUUUGUGUCUUCGACCUGCUUCGCUGUCAAUACAGGAAGGCAAGAUCUUUUGUCUUCAACCAGCUCCAUCACAACCGAGAGAGGCAAGGUUUGUGUCUUCGACCUGCUUCGCUGUCAAUGCAGAAAGGCAAGAUCUUUUGUCUUCAACCAGCUCCAUCACAAUCGAGAGAGGCAAGGUUUGUGUCUUCGACCUACUUCGCUGUCAAUGCCGGAAGACAAGAUCUUUUAUUUUCAACCAGCUCCAUCACAACCGAGAGAGGCAAGGUUUGUGUCUUCGACCUGCUUCGCUGUCAAUACAGGAAGGCAAGAUCUUUUGUCUUCAACCAGCUCCAUCACAACCGAGAGAGGCAAGGUUUGUGUCUUUGACCUGCUUCGUUGUCAAUGCAGGAAGGCAAGAUCUUUUGUCUUCAACCAGCUCCAUCACAACCGAGAGAGGCAAGGUUUGUGUCUUCGACCUGCUUCGCUGUCAAUGCAGGAAGGCAAGAUCUUUUGUCUUCAACCAGCUCCAUCACUACCGAGAGAGGCAAGGUUUGUGUCUUCGACCUACUUCGCUGUCAAUGCCGGAAGGCAAGAUCUUUUGUCUUCAACCAGCUCCAUCACAACCGAGAGAGGCAAGGUUUGUGUCUUCGACCUGCUUCGCUGUCAAUACAGGAAGGCAAAAUCUUUUGUCUUCAACCAGCUCCAUCACAACCGAGUGAGGCAAGGUUUGUGUCUUUGACCUGCUUCGCUGUCAAUGUAGGAAGGCAAGAUCUUUUUUCUUCAACCAGCUCCAUCACAACCAAGAGAGGCAAGGUUUGUGUCUUCGAUCUGCUUCGCUGUCAAUGCAGGAAGGCAAGAUCUUUUGUCUUCAACUAGCUCCAUCACAACCGAGAGAGGCAAAGUUUAUGUCUUCGACCUGCUUCGCUGUCAAUGCAAGAAGGCAAGAUUUUUUUGUCUUCAACCAGCUCCACCACAACCGAGAGAGGCAAGGUUUGUGUCUUCGACCUGCUUCGCUGUCAAUGUAGGAAGGCAAGAUCUUUUGUCUUCAACCAGCUCCAUCACAACCGAGAGAGGCAAGGUUUGUGUCUUCGACCUGCUUCGCUGUCAAUGUAGGAAGGCAAGAUCUUUUGUCUUCAACCAGCUCCAUCACAACCAAGAGAGGCAAGGUUUGUGUCUUCGACCUUCACUGAUCUGUUCUCUGGGAAACAUGACCUGUAUAAUGAACCUAAUUAUGCCUAAAGAUUAGGAUGACAUGAUCAGAACGAAUCAAAUGCUCCUAACUAGAUGUGUAUGAAUGCAAAAUGUCAUGAAAAUGAUUCAUUAAUGCUUAGGUUAUCAUCACGCAAAAGCCUAUUAAGGCUUUAUCAUUGACAUGUUACAACGCCUUCUUGCUCGGCUGGCUCAUCCAAAGAAACACUUAAUCUGAUUGCCCCCCAGUGUGAUAUUCAAACUUUAAUCCACUGGGAUGCAAAAUUUGUACCAUCAUUCUCCCACUGUAAUACAAGGGUAGAAAGAUAUGGCUUUUCUCAAUCUUCUCCUAUCGCAAUUCAAGGAUACAGAAUGUGAAGCUCUUUGGUCCUUUACCCCAUUCCCAAGGUUUCAUACCAAAUGCGCAUGCACAAUUGCAAAAUUUUCUUCUCCUAGAAAACCUUUUCUUUUUGCCUGGUAAACAUCGCUUGUUGGUUCAUUGAAGCUUUGCCACCAAUACGACAUCUUGUCAUUUUGCUUAAUCAAUGUUUGGACAACAAAAUCUGAAAGAAUAGUCUUUAACUUAGACCCUUCCUUCUUAGAUAUUUCGCCCUUUAAACUUGGUGUUUUCUAAACAAUAGUCCUGUUUCAGGUUCCUAUAUUAUUUAGAAACUUCUAAAGUAAUAUGCAAAACUUCCAUUGUGAAAGUGUUAUUAGUCCAUUAAUCAUUAUUCUAAUGCAACAUGCUUGUAAAGAGAACAUAACGAUAGAUAAAAUAAAAAUGAUUUGAGAGCAUAGCUCGAAAUGAAUGAAUUAUCAAGGGUAGCAAGAAUAAAAGAGGAAUUGAUUGGAACACGUAUCUUGAAAAAGAAUGAAGUAUUCCCAGAACAACAACAAAUUCAAUAUAUAAAUAGUAUGAAGGUUAGGUGCCCUAGAUAUCGUAGCUUGAACUUCUCUGUACAAACUUUCUGAAGACUUUCCUGAGUUUGACAUGUUUUUAGGAGAUCUACAUGACUCUAUCGAUGCCCCAAGACGUUGCCUUACCCUUUCAAGUAUAGCAAGAUCACCACAUGCCCCGAUCUGAUCACUUCAUGCCCCAUUCUGAUCAAUAUUUGAGCCGCCCUUCAGGUUUUCAACUCAAAUCCCCUUUGGCCUAAGGUGCCCUUUGCUGGGUUUCCCCUUAGCCUCUCCAUUUUUACUUUUUAAUUUUUUUCAUUUUUCAUUUUUUUCAUCAUUUUUUUUGUUUGACUCAAAGUACCCUUUGCAGGUUCUCACCUUGGUCCUUCCUUCUUCGAAGUGUUUCUCAAUUGGAUCCGAGUUUAUAGGAUUGGCAAUCUCACUCAGGAUCAGUGCUCCUCUGAAAAUGGUCUUCUUUACAAUAUAGAGACAUUCCUAGUUUGACAUUCAUUUCCCUUUAGAAUCCUUUCAUUAAGGAAGAAUCUUUUUCAACAUCCAGCCCUCUCGUGGAAUUCUCUGAGACGAGCCUGUUUAUUAUGGGCUUAUAUUAUUUAUUUAUGGUACAUCCGACCUUGAUGAAUAGCUUCUAACCCUUUUCCUAGGAUCAACUGAUCACAUCACGAUAGGAUCCCUCCAACAAGCAACGAGGGGAUUUUAAUAGGUAAAACUACCUCAAUCCUGUAAACCAAAAAGAGAGGUGUUUCCCCAGUACAGAUGUUUGAUAAACAAUGAGGGCAAAUGGUAAUUUCUCAUGCCAGUCCUUGUUCACAUCUAGGUAAUUCGGUGACAAAACAUUGUGUCUGCUUCUGAAUUGAUUUCAGACCUCAGUUAUCGUGCUAUCAUUUAAGUUCAAUGCAUUUUCCAAUACCAUCCUCUCUGAAAUUCUGUAUCGGUAUAGGAUGACCUUGAUCCAUGAAGUAACCUCUCAAAAAAAAUGAAGCAAUGCCAAUUAGAAGUCUUCGAUAAUGGUGAAGUCCAUGCCCCAUUUUGCUUAAAAUUUGAGUCGCCAUUUUUCGGGUUUUCAACUCAGAUCCACCUUUGGUCAAAGUGCCCUUUGCGGGUUUUCGCCUUGACCUCUCCUUUUUCUUUUUCUUUUUUCUUAUUUUCUUAUUUUGACUUUGAUUUUUUUUUGAUUUUUUAAUUUUUUUUGAUUUUUUGAUUUUUUUUUUGAGUCUGAACUUAUGAGAUUAAGCAAGUCCUGGUCAUGCUUUUCGACCAGAAUCAAUGUUAUUCUAAAGUCUUCCAUAUAAGAUCUUCCACUUUCAUCUUGUAUGUGAGAAACCUUCUUUGGUACCAGAUUUCUUUCAUAGAGCCCUUUUGGGACGCAACUACGACAGAAAACUUUAGAUCUUCCUCUUUAAUCAGGAUAAAAUCCAGCAACAUCUUGAAGGGAUGGGAACUUGACUUCAAAUGGGCAAAGCUAUGCUGACUCAACGAGAGAGGCAUUGCCCCGGCAAAGAAUUGCAUCGUUCGUACUGUGAAUUUCUGACAUCAUGCUAUUAUGCAGAUUUUAUUAUAAGAAUCGAGGCAUACCCUGGUAUGAUCAUACAAAGACAUCAUUGAACUCUAGAGGUAACUCAACAAGGUUUUGCUUCGUGUCUGUGGUUAGGUCAAUUCUAGUCUUCACCAAGUUCACAAAUUCUAAUGAUUCCUUGAGAGGUAGGACCUGUUUAGCCUUUUAUUCUACCAUCCUCAACAAGUCCAGAGAUAGGCUACAAUCUAUGUCAUCUUCAAAGGCGUGAGAUCCCUCUAAACACAUGUCUCACUUAAAAGGAGAUUCUAAGUCUGUAGCGGUGUUAUUCAUGUCGUUGAUAUCCAGGGCCCUACUGUAGGUACAAAGAAUGUACAAAGAAUGUAUGAAUUUAAGAAUAAUUAUCUGCACAGUAUGAUUAUGAAUGAAAAAAAUGAUUUUGAUGAAAGAAUAAAAGAAUAAUCGUUCAAGAAAUGAAAGAAUAUUGGUUCAAAAGAUCGCAAAGAUGCAUUCCAUUAAAAUAAUGACGUUCAGACAUGAGCCUAUUUCACAAAAGACUUCUUGUUGCCUCUAGGCUAAAAGCAACAAGUGUGUUUUGAAUAUUACUCUGAGUAAGCUCUAAAUACUACAGGGGUUCCUUUAAACCACUCCCAAGUUUAUAAGGGUGAACAUCUAAUAAGAUCUCUUCUCCGGUUGCUUCUUCGUAUUCGGCACUGAUGUGAAUGUUUCCCAACAUCUCUUCAUUCAUCGUAUUCCUUUCAUUAUCCGUAUGAUUGAGUAGCGGGUUUUCUGUACUGAGUGAAUCCUCAAAUUUGACGAUGCCCAUAUUGAUAAAUCUUUCGACCAGCUUUUUAAAGGCAGUGCAGUUUUUUAUAGAAUGCCCCGUAAUUCCCGCAUGAUAGUCACAUUGCGUAUUUAUGUCAUACCAUUUAGGGUACGGAGGUUGUAAAGGCUUCAAGUAGAAAGGGGAGACAACAUGUGCGUCAAAUAAACUCUGAUACAGCUUCUGGUACGACAUUGGGAUUGAGACUUCUUAAUGCUUUGCUUAGUGCCAGAUUCAUGUCUUGGGGAUAUCUGAUGGCCAGUAACAACCGACCUUUGCUGACCUGCGGUAAUCGACUUUGAAUAACCCUCAUUAUGCCUACCCGUAUUGCUCACCUCAUUUUUCCUCUUCCUCGAGACUUUUGAAGUAUUGUUUUGGGAGUUCCAUUCUUGCCCUUUCUGUUUGUAAUGAUCUUCGAAUUGUUUUGAAAACUCUACCCUUGCCUGUUUUGUUCCCGCUAGAUCAUCAAGGACAGCAGAAUUAGUUAGAUUGCCCCUCAGAUUGGAACCUGAACCUGUCGCGAAAUUCACUGGUGUCGAGGUAUUGGUCUGGAUGUUGACAGUUACCCUUUGUGGAUAUGUGUUUGGUUGUGCUUGGAUGUCGGUUGGAGUAAAGUCUGGAAGAUAUGCAGGAACUUCAUUAUCAUUCCCAAAGUGGACCACUAGGUUUUUUCCUUUUUCCAACCUCAUAUCCAAUAACUGGGUUAACUGGCUCAUCAGAUUUCUCUGGACUUCUAGCAUUUGAUCCUUCACAUCUUGUUGAAAUUUGGCCAAUUGCUCUAGCAUCUGUAUCUGCAUUCGCUCUAAUCUCUCCAACCUUUGGUCCAGUCCUUAGUUUCUAUUCGGGUACAGCAAAAAUGUUGGUUUUCCAAACUUUCUGAAAUAAUUUUACCUAAUUAGGGUCACUUUAUGAAAAACUAAUGCAUAUGAUGCAAUGUAAUGCAAAUGCAUGAAAUGAAUGCCUAAAGAGACGUUGAUUCUGAUUCAAUCACAUUUAGGAAACUUUUCUGGAAAGCAAAUUCCCUUACACAAAACGGAUACAUGUACGACCUCACCCUCAUAUUCCAAGAAACAACAUCGGUCUUUUUCUUCAUCUGCAUGCUUGAGGUAAUCUCGCCAAUAGAUGCCAUUGCUAGCUCCUUCUCUUGAUCUUGGUUGUAAUCCAUCACCUGCCUGUCCUCAUAAGGCUCGUCCGCCUCUUUAAGGGGUUGGAAUGUUCAAGGCUCUUAGACAAUUGCCUUGAAUCCUCAGGCCACGAAGCAGGGUCACGAACUCUUCCAUCGCCCUUCUUGUGUUUCUCGGAAUAUAUUUGGGAAGUCGUAUUGUUUUCCACUUUAUCAAGGAAUCCGUAUUCCAUGACAAGCUUUCUAAUUUAGUAAUCGAACUUAAAUCAAUAUCUCUUUCCUAAGAUGCAGAUGCGAUGCAAUCAUAAUCAAAGCACAAUAAAAAGGGUUAGUACAAAAACAAACAAGGAAAACAGAAAGUAUGUAAUCGGGUGACUACUAGGGGUUUGGAGUGGCUCUAUCUAGGUUAAGUUCCUAAGUCCACUACAUGAGGUUUAGUUCUAAAGUAAGGGUACCCAAACCAGCAGAUUCCUCGAUCCUCACCCAUUAUAGGCUCAUACGGACCAAGUUCGGUUCAGGGGAAUACAUUUCCCUAUGGCUGCACGGAGAUGAAAAUCUCACGAAGACAUAGGUACGGAUGUAUCCCAAAAGCGAUCCACUAUCCUGCAUGGAGGUGAAAACCUCACGAAGGAGUAGCUUCUCACUCCCACUUAAAAGGUGUGACGAGCGGUCAUGCAAUGCAAUGCAUAAAGAUAUAAAAAUUUAAACAAAUAGAGCAAUUAUAAACCACAAUAAUGAAAAUUAUAAUGAAGAAUGAUAUGCAAUGAAAGGAUCAUAAAUUUAAACCAAAUUUUCAAUUUUCGACAAAAAAGACAAAAAAUAAUCAACUCGUGGCUCGACUCACUUAUUUAAAGUCCCCAGUGGAGUCGCCAAGCUGUUGACACUAUUUUUUGAUGGAAAACGGGGUCGACUUAGGUUUUGAAAAAUGAAACGGGAGUCGCCACCAAUCCUUUUUUUAUGAGGUGUGAUUGGAUCACCUCGAAAAGGGGUUAUUUUUAAUAAACAAUUUGAUUUUAUUAAAAUAACAAGUUUGGUCCACGAAAUUCAGAAAAAUGGGUUCGGGAGUCGGUUACGCACGAGGAAGGAUUAGCACCCUCGAUACGCCCAAAAUUGGUACCUAGUUGAUUACUUAAUGUCUUAGUGUCGAAGAGUGAAAACUUUGAAGAAUUUAAAAAUACGAUCCUUGUAUUAAAAAGUUGAAAAUUUUGGGCAAAGAGGGCACAUUCCACGUUAAUCGAGAAAGAAAGUAUCAUAUUCAGUAAGUUAGGACACAAUGUCUCGAAUUCCCGAUACGCGAAUAAAAAUGGUUGUUCAAAAGAUUAUUUAACUAUUUUUGGAUAAAAAAGGGAUCACGACCAGUAAGUUAGGACACGAUCCUUUUUUAAUUCCCGAUAUCGUUUAAAACUUGAGUUUGAAAAGAUUCGUGUAAUAAAGUUUAAAAGAAUAUUCAAUUGUUUAAAUCAAAUGAAGAAAUCGCAACCCAAUACGUUAGGGCACAAUUUAUCAAAAUAUUAAACAUUGAAUAUUACAUUUAUUUCGAAAAAUCCUCGUUUCGAGAAAACAACAUGUCACAUCCAAUGCGUUAGGACACAAUAUAUUGAAUUCUCGAUAACGAACUUUUUAUCAUUUUUAAAAGAGUAAUCUCGAUUAUUUUGAUUCAACAAAGAAAAUCGGAACCCAAUACGUUAGGGCUCGAUUCUCUCAAAGAUCUCAAAUAUCGAGUGUUAUUAUUAUUUUACAUUCAUUUUUUACUCGGAUUUAUCCAAAAAUGGAAAAUUUCAAAAUAAUAAUAACACUCGAUAUUUGAGAUCUUUGAGAGAAUCGAGCCCUAACGUAUUGGGUUCCAAUUUUCUUUGUUGAAUCAAAAUAAUCGAGAUUACUCUUUUAAAAAUGAUAAAAAGUUCGUUAUCGAGAAUUCAAUAUAUUGUGUCCUAACGCAUUGGAUGUGACAUGUUGUUUUCUCGAAACGAGGAUUUUUCGAAAUAAAUGUAAUAUUCAAUGUUUAAUAUUUUGAUAAAUUGUGCCCUAACGUAUUGGGUUGCGAUUUCUUCAUUUGAUUUAAACAAUUGAAUAUUCUUUUAAACUUUAUUACACGAAUCUUUUCAAACUCAAGUUUUAAACGAUAUCGGGAAUUAAAAAAGGAUCGUGUCCUAACUUACUGGUCGUGAUCCCUUUUUUAUCCAAAAAUACUUAAAUAAUCUUUUGAACAACCAUUUUUAUUCGCGUAUCGGGAAUUCGAGACAUUGUGUCCUAACUUACUGGAUAUGAUACUUUCUUUCUCGAUUAACGUGGAAUGUGCCCUCUUUUCCCAAAAUUUUCAACUUUUUAAUACAAGGAUCGUAUUUUUAAAUUCGGCAAAGUUUUCACUCUUCGACACUAAGACAUUAAGUAAUCAACUAGGUACCAAUUUUGGGCGUAUCGAGGGUGCUAAUCCUUCCUCGUGCGUAACCGACUCUCGAACCCAUUUUUCUGAAUUUAGUGGACCAAACUUGUUGUUUUAAUAAAAUCAAACCGUUUAUUAAAAACAAUCCCUUUUCGAGGUGAUCCAAUCACACCUCAUAAAAAAAAGGAUUGGUGGCGACUCCCGUUUCAUUUUUCAAAACCCAAGUCGACCCCGUUUUCCAUCAAAAAAUGGUGUCAACAGACAUAAUAAUAAAUUUAACCAUUCAAUAUCUACAAAUUCUAUUAAUUUGGUUCUAAUUCUAAAAUAUAAAUUUAGCUUUUAACUUUAUCCAUUAUGUCAAUUUAGUCUUGAUUCUUAAAAUUUUAAAAUAAAAAUUUAAAAAUUUUUAUCAAUAAAAAUACAUACAAAAUUUUAAAAUGCACAAAAAAUAUAAUUUUUUUAAAGGUGAAUACUCAAUUUCUCUUUAAAGGAAAACACAAAUAAAAAUUAGAUCUAAUUUAUCAUUUGUUUUUGUUGAAAAUGUGGUAAAUCUUACGGAUUUUCUUUGUUGUAAGGGUGAAAAGAAAAUGUAGGGUUUAGUCUAAAUCACUCAAUAAUAACUAACGUGAUCAAAAUUUAGUGUGUAACAAUUUUCUCAGCUACCAGACACUGUAGGCCCCGUUUUCUUCCAUUCUUCAUCAUCAUUUUCUCAGCUACCAGACACUGAAGACUACACGGGCGUGUGACCUUGAACCUAGGAAAAAUUUUAAAAUUUUGUGAAAAAUUCUUUGAGUUCUCGAUUUGGGCCACGAGGGCCCACAGAAGGGACGAUGUGGUUAAAUUAUAAUUAAUUUCUGAUACGAUUGUAAAAUAACGUGAAAUAUCUGAAUAUGAUCUGUAAAUUUUGGUAAUGCUCCUAAACCCUGUUCUGGCGACGAAUACAGGUUAGGGGUGUUACAUUAUCACCUUUCGAUUAUUUAACGUAAUAAUUCAAAGGAUUCCUUAAAACUAAAAUUGACUAACUAAAAUAACUAACGAAUGUGCCAAAUAGCAAAACACGAAAAUAAUCUAAUAUCAUCUGAUUUACUAAACGAUACCCACGUAAGAAUCCACUUAGAAUUCAUCUAAAAUUCUCAAUUUAAUUUCUGCAAUUUAUUUCCUUAGUUUCCUUGAUCCGUAGAAAUACCUAACUUAUGCUAAUAUCUCUUUCAAGCAUAAAAGCAACUAACUCUAGGUUGAUUAAUUAAAAUUCCCUUCUAAUAAAAACCCUUAUUAUCGCAUUAAUUCACUCUAUGGAUUCUCUUAUUAGAUUUGACUCUAAUUUGGUAGAUUUGUGUCAUCCUAUUUCUAGGAUUAUAUGCAACUCCAUUCGAUUAUGCAAGAUCUAAUCACAAGAAGGGUCUAUUCAACCUCAAACUCAUGCCCAUCAAACAUGGAUUAAGACCCUAGAAAUAUUAACCCAAGAACAAAUUUAGAAUUCAUAAUUGAAAAUAAAGAAGCUAAGAUUUUAUUGCAUAAAACUAUAAAUCAAAUAAUAUAAUCCAUCGUAUGGUUCAUCUCCCUUAGGUAUUUAGAAAAUUAGUUCAUACUUGCAAGAAUAAAAAUCGACAUUAAAAUAAAAGAAACCUAUGAUAACUUCCCCAGAAAUCAAUUUGGAAUCUUUAAUCUUGAUGGAGAACUACUUUGAAAUCAACUUCAAUGGUGUUCUUUUGGGUAAUUUUCGCUUUAAACCAAGACGGAUGUUGUUUUCCCUUUUUUAUUUCCUUAUAUAUGCCUUCUUAAAGUGCCAAAAACUUAAAAAUUGAAACUUCUCACUGUCAUUGUACACGGUUUCCGAAAGUUACACACCCUUGCCACACACUCUUGUGGUUCAUAUAGCCUUGUGGUCUGGCCGUGUGAAAAUCUGUUACCCGUGUACAACUUCCAGACUGCUUCAAUGUUAUGAUUUUCACUUGUUUUUCACUCUAUUUGUUCCCAAGUACUCCAUUAAGCUUCAAAACAUGAAUUUAAAGGAUUAUAGGUAUAUAAUUCACAAUUAACACCACUUAAUUACCCAAAAUGCACUAAGAAUGAGGCUAGAAUAUGUUACUUUUGACACUUAUCAAAUAUCCCCAUACUUAAGCAUUUGUUUGUCCUCAAGCAUAGUUCUCUACUCACAUUCGAAUUUCCUUCACCCAUUAUUUUCACUAAUCAUGGCUUAGGAUAAUCUAUAUAUAAUUUGAAAAUUAAACUAAAAUGACAGUAAAGAGCAUAAGCAAUCCAAGCAAAAAUUUUAAUUUCAAAACAUAGGAUUCUCCCCUACCUUAUAAUAACCUGAAAUUCAAACCCAAUCAGAUUUAACAUCCUUACUAAGAUUCACUCAAAACACUCAAAGUAUUUAAAGGUUAAUUAAUAUGCACUCAAUAGUCAAACAAGGAAUGUUAUUACCAUAAGCUUGCUUAAGAAUCAAAUCUCCACCACUACAAAUAUGAGAUGACACGGAGAUCAAGAGGUUUUUACAAGAGUUGUAACGGGGUUUAGGUUAAGGGUACAGAAGGUAUAAAAGGUGAAUAUAGUCAAGAGUUGAAAUGAUGAGUUACCAAACUAAAAGAGUAGGAUUUUGAAUUGCAAAAAAUUUAACAUUAAAGUGAAACAAAGAAUUGAAGUGAGCUUUUAUAUAUGAUGAUGAUGAUGAUUUAAGCUCAAAAAAAAAAGAAAAAAAAGAAAAAAGAUAAUGAUGCUUAUAACAUGAAUAUUGACCUCUCAAUUGAACAAGAUAGCCUGAAGAAUUUUUAAGAAUGAUCGAACAUAUCUAGGAAACUUACCAAAAAUCUAAUCUCAACUAAAGGAAAGCAAUAAAAAAAGUAAUUCACAAAAUUAAUGGGGUUUAAGGGUUAAAAUGGAAGGGAUGAUAAACAAACAAAAAGGGACUAGGCUCAAAGGGGUUUAUUAGUGGGCAAUGAAAUGGGUAGGCUAUUUAAAUGUUAAAUGGUUUAAUGGUUAAAAUGGAAGGGAUGAUAAACAAACAAAAAGGGAUUAGGCUCAAAAGGGUUUAUUAGUGGGCAAUGAAAUGGGUAGGCUAUUUAAAUGUUAAAUGGUUUAAAUCCUAAGUGUCUCUAUCAUCUCAAUAUAUCAAAUUAUUAUAUUUGAGAAUUUGCCACAAAUGUUGGACCUCAGUAACAUUUGUAAUCAAUCCCAUACAAGUGCGCACAAGACCCUAUUGACACGCCAAUUGUAUCUUAACAUUUACUAAGUUCACACGAGCAUUUCUUACACAUAUAAAUAUUUCUUUUCAAUUUAAUCCAAUUCUAACCUUUAGAACCAAUUCACAAUCAAUUGAUCCACAAUCACACACUUAUAUAUAAAUCAAAUCAAUUAAUUAUUUUAAAUAUAAUUAUUUUUAGUAAAAAUAAAUUUUAUAUGUGGAAUAUUUAUUUUUUUUCCAUCCAUAUCAUUGGUGUGACAAAUUUUAGUAUUAUAUAUUUUUAUGUGUAUUUUAGAUAAUUAUUUAAAAUAUUUUACAUAUAAAAACAAUGAUAUUUGAAAUAAUUAUUUUUAUAAUAUUAGAAUUUACAUACUUACAAUAUAGGUGAAAAUAAAUUGAUAUUUGUAAUAGUUAUUUAAAAUAUUUCACAUAUAUUUGAAAUAAAAUUUUGAAAUAAUUUACAUAUAAAAUCAAUAGUGAUAUUUGAAAUAAUUAUUUGAUUUUAUAAUAUUAGAAUCUACAAUAUCCACAAUGUAGGUGGAAAAAAAUAUUUCACAUAUAAAAAAUUAUAUUUAUUAUUUACUAGAAAUAAUGAUAUUUGAAAUGAUUAAUUGAUUUUUUUAUAGUAGAAUUUAUCAUACUUACAAUGUAUAUAAAAAAAAUAAAUAUUUGAUAUAUAAAAAUUAUAUAUAAAAAAUUAGUUGAUGUUUUUAAAAAAUAAAAAAUAUAUAACAUAAUGAUACACAUGAAUAUAUUUUCACUAUAUCCACAAUGCAAGUGAAAAAAAAUAAUGAUAUUUGAAAUAAUUAUUUUUAUAAUAUUAGAAUUUAUGUUACCCACAAUGUAUGUAAAAACAAUUUUUUUGACAUAAAAAUUUAUUUAUAAAGAAAAAUAUAUCAAAAUAUUAGUUGAUGUUUUUAAAAAUACAUAUAAGUUUAACAUAAUGAUACAUAUGACUAUAUAUUCAUCAUAUCCAUAAUGUAAGUGAAAAAAUAAUAAGAUUUGAAAUAAUUAAUUUUAUAUAUUAGAAUUUACGAUACCCACAAUGUACGUAAAAAAAAUAUUUGACAUAAAAAAUAUAUAAAUAAAAAUAUAUCAAAAAAAUUAGUUGUUGUUUUUAAAAAAUAAAAUAUAUUUAACAUAAUUAUAUAUAAAUUAUUUUCAUUAUAUAAUUACAUAUUUAUUAUUUUGUGCAUAUAAAUAAAGAAGUGAUUAAUUAAAAUAAAAAUAAAAAAUUAAUUGAAGACUUGAAAAUAGCAUGAUUAUUAAUUAAAAAAUAAGAAAAAAAAGCUUGAAGAAACAUUCAUUAGAAAAAAAACAAAUAAUAUGGGGGGGGAUUCGGAUAUGGGACUUAAGGGUAGAAAAUGCAAGAAAAAUAAUGAGGUCCUUGGAAGUAAUAAAUAUUAAUAUUUUGAUAUUUUUAUAAAAAAAUUAUAAACUAUAUAAGCAUAAUAGGAUUUGAAUUUAAGUUACUAUGACUUCAACAAUCUUAUUCUUGUUAUCAGAACAUUAUUUAUUUCUUUUUAUAAACAUUUACAUAUAUAUUUUUUUGAUCUAACAAACAGGGAAGGCAUUUGGUAAAUUUCUGGAUUUGCAGUAUUUUUUCUUCAAGCUAAUUAAUUCAAUUUUGUAUGGUGUUAUCCAGGAAGAAAUAGAUCAACAAAAAUGGGAGCUGAGGAGCCUGAAGAGAACAUCACUCACAUGGAUGCUUGGCUUUAUAAGGCAGCAGCAGAAGGCAACAUUGAAGUAUUCAAUAAUAACCAGCGGCUUCAAUUGAGUCGCUAAAGACCCCCGCACAAUACGUAUUCUCCCUGAUAGAUUUUGUAUCACACGAUUCGGGUUUCAAUAUUUUCAUAACUGUGAUAAGAAGAGACAAAAUAUCUGAUUUUAUCAGACAAAUUCUCAGCAAAUGUCCGUCACUGCUACUCCAGACGAAUGCUAAAGGUCAAACUCCUUUUCACGUUGCAGCAAGGUAUGGAAAUUCUACUAUUGUGAAACUUCUAAUCAAGUCUUGUGCAAAAGCUAGAGAUGGAGAUUUAGAGAAGCUGGGAAUGGAUCAAGUAAAUGCAGUGGGGGAGAUGCUGAGGAUUACGGAUCAGGAAUCCAACACGGCUUUACACGAAGCAGCACGGCGUGACAAUGUUGAAGUGGUGAAAGCAUUGUUGGAGUUUAAAGACCCUGAUUUUCCGUAUUCCACCAACAAAAAACAGGAGACUGCACUUUACAAUGUUGAAGUGGUGAAAGCAAUGCUGCACACUUGGGUUCUAGAUUAUCAGUUGUGGAAGAAGUGUUAAAAAGGGAUGUAUCAGCUGCCUAUAGAGGUGAUAAAAAGAGGGGGAUGACACCCCUUUGUUAACAUUAAUGGGAGACAACAUUAAUGGCAAACAAUACAAAGUGGUGCAAGUUUAGCACCCUAAAGUUGACUUUGAAAAAGUGGCAUGGGAUAAUUUUUUUUGGUCCUUGAGAUAAUGCGCUAUUUAUUGUUUGGUCCUUGAACCUCAACUAUAAAUAGGCCUUCUCAUUUCUCAUUUCAAUUCAUCCCAACCAAUCUUUCUCUCUUAGUUUUCUCUCUUCUCCCAUUUGAGAAUUCUUAAGGAAUUCUAUUUGUUUGUAAUACUUUGGAGAUAGUAAAGUUAUCAUCUGGUGUUAGUGCCUGAGGACGUAGGUAUAAUUUACCGAACCUCGUUAAAACUCUUGUGUUCUUUCUUGUCCUAUUUUUCUUUCAAUAUUUGAGGGUAUAAUAGUAGUAUUUAAUUGUGCUAUUAAAUUACUAUAAAAGGGAUAUUCUGACUAAGGAAAGACUUGGUAUUUAAGAGAUCCUUGUGAUCCACCUCUCUUCCCUGGGAAUUGAACUUUGUGUGAUUUUUUAGUACAAUAAUUUACACGCUUCCGACCCUAUUGGAACAACAAGUGGUAUCAAGAGCCGAAGGUUAAUCGUAGUAUGCUCUGUGGUUGCAGUUUAAACUGAUCUUCCACAUCAGAAAAGAUUUCCUUAGGUAUAUUGAAAGAUUAUGGAGAAAACGGUCGGUGUAGGAGCUUCAACAUCGUCCAUGUGGACAAGACCGACAAUUGCAAAUGCAAGAUUGGCCGUGGAGAUCUUUGAAGGCACGGGCCAUUUUGGUAUGGGGCAAAGUGAGGUUUUAGAUGCCCUUUUUCAGCAGGGUCUAGACAUUGCCAUUGAUGAAGAGAAACCAGAUGAUGUACAGGAGAAAGAUUGGAAGGCGAUCAGUCGGUUGGCAUGUGGCACAAUUCGAUCAUGCCUUUCUCGAGAGCAGAGGUAUGCUUUUUCAAAGGAGACUUCUGCAAAUAAGUUGUGGGUGGCACUUGAAGAAAAUUUUUUGAAGAAAAACAGUCAAAAUAAGCUCCACUUGAAGAAAAGACUGUUUCGCUUCACAUACGUCCCAAGUACCACAAUGAAUGAUCACAUCACCAAAUUUAAUCAGUUAGUCACUGAUUUGCUGAAUAUGGAUGAGACAUUCAAAGAUGAAGAUUUGGCUUUGAUGCUGUUGGGGUCACUUCCUGAGGAGUUUGAGUUCCUAGAAACUACUCUACUUCAUGGCAGGAGUGAUAUAUCUCCGAGCGAAGUCUGUGCGGCCUUAUACAGUUAUGAACAGAGAAAGAAGGACAAACAGAAAAACUCAAUCAGAGAUACAGAAGCUUUAGUAGUCCGAGGUCGUUCAUACACUCGGAAGAAAACUCAAAAGGGGAGAUCAAAGUCAAAGUCCAAACUCGGGAAAGAUGAAUGUGCUUUUUAUCAUGAGAAAGGCCAUUGGAAGAAAAAUUGUCCAAAGCUGAAGAAUAAGGGAAAAGCUGCUGUAGAUGCUUGUGUUGCUAAGCAUGAUACUAGUGACUCUGAACUAUCACUGGUUGCAUCAUCAUCGUCGUUCCAUUCAGAUGAGUGGAUAUUGUAUUCGGGUUGUACCUAUCAUAUGUCCCCUAACCGGGAGUGGUUCUCUGAUUUAGUAGAACUAAAUGGAGAGUUGUUUAUAUGGGCAAUGACAAUGCCUGUAAAACUGUUAGGAUAGGUUCAAUCCAAUUAAAGAAUAAAGAUGGAUCAACCAGAGUUCUGACUGAUGUUCGGUACGUGCCCAGUUUGAAGAAAAAUCUCAUCUCAUUGGGAGCCUUGGAAUCCAAUGGUUCAGUUGUUACUAUGAGAGAUGGGGUUUUGAAAGUGACAUAUGGCGCACUUGUGAUAUUGAAGGGCAUCAGGAAAAAUAACUUGUAUUACUACCAAGGUAGUACAGUUAUUGGAGCAGUCGCUGCAGCUUCCGGCAACAAAGAAUUGGACUCAAUACAGUUGUGGCAUAUGAAGUUGGGACAUGCCAGCGAAAAAUCCUUGCAAAUUCUGGCAAAGCAAGGAUUGUUGAAAGGUGCAAAGGCUUGCAAAUUAAAAUUUUGCGAGCAUUGUGUUCUGGGAAAGCAAAAGAGAGUGAAAUUCGGCACUGCUAUCCAUAAUACAAAAAGUAUUUUAGAAUAUGUUCACUCAGAUGUGUGGGGGCAUUCCAAGACACCUUCAUUGGGAGGAAAACACUACUUUGUUACUUUUGUUGAUGACUUUUCCAGAAGAGUUUGGGUGUAUACCAUGAGAACUAAGGAUGAAGUGCUUAGAGUUUUUCUUAAAUGGAAAACUAUGAUCGAAAACCAGACUGGCAAGAAAAUCAAGCGGCUUAGGACGGACAAUGGAGGGGAAUAUAAAAGUGAUCCAUUCUUCGAUGUGUGCCAAGAGUAUGGUAUUGUUCGACACUUCACAGUUAGGGAUACACCACAGCAGAAUGGAUUGGCAGAGCGUAUGAAUCGAACAUUGCUAGAGAAAGUUUGAUGUAAGUUGUCCAAUGCUGGGUUGGGCAAGCAAUUUUGGGCUGAGGCUGUGACAUACGCUGGCCAUCUUGUUAAUCGUUUGCCAUCAUCUGCAUUAGAAAGAAAAACUCCUAUGGAGGUAUGGUCUGGAAAACCGGCUACAGAUUAUGAUUCCUUACAUGUGUUUGGAUCCACUGCAUAUUACCAUGUGAAGGAGUCAAAGUUAGAUCCGAGGGCAAAGAAAGCUCUUUUUAUAGGAAUCAUUUCUGGAGUGAAGGGAUUUCGUCUUUGGUGCUUAAGCACAAAGAAAAUGAUCUGUAGCAGAGAUGUUACCUUUGAUGAAUCUGCCACAUUGAAAAAGGUAGCAGAUAAAAAUAUUCAGACGAGCAAUACUCCACAGCAAGUGGAGUGUACUCCAAAAUAGGUGGAGUUUGAGCAGAUGGGGAUUUGCCCAGUUAAUAAGUCUAAUUCUCUAGCCACAAUGGAGGAAUUAGAGGUUGAAGAGGUUCUGACCCAAGAACCACUAAGUACACCAGAACCAGUUGCAGUUGCAAGGCCACGGAGAGAAAUUCGUAAACCUGCUCGAUUUAUUGAUAUGGUGGCCUACGCCCUUCCCGUUGUUGAUGAUAUUCCUAUCACUUAUCAAGAAGCAAUGCAAAGCUUAGAAAGUGAUAAAUGGAAAAGCGCCAUGGAUGAAGAAAUGCAGUCUCUCCGGAAGAACAAUACUUGGGAGUUGGCGCAAUUACCGAAAGGUAAAAGGGCAAUCGGAUGCAAGUGGGUAUUCACAAAGAAAGAUGGAUCUCCUAGCAAGAAGGAUAUUCGCUACAAGGCAAGAUUGGUAGCUAAAGGCUACGCUCAGAAGGAGGGAAUUGACUACAAUGAUGUAUUUUCCCCUGUUGUGAAGCAUUCCUCCAUUAGAAUUUUGUUGGCCUUGGUAGCACAGUUGAAUUUGGAGCUAGCUCAACUUGAUGUUAAGACGGCUUUCUUGCAUGGUGAGUUAGAAGAGGAGAUCUAUAUGACUCAGCCCGAAGGAUACACAGAUGCUGGUGGUAGAAAUUGGGUUUGUAAGCUUAACAAAUCGCUAUAUGGAUUGAAGCAAUCCCCGAGGCAGUGGUACAAGCGAUUCGAUAGCUUUAUGAGAAGGCAGAAGUACACAAGAAGCAAAUAUGACAAUUGUGUAUAUUUGCAGAAGCUGCAUGACGGAUCUUUCAUUUAUCUACUCUUGUAUGUUGAUGAUAUGUUAAUCGCUUCGAAGAGCCAAAAUGAGAUAGAUAAGCUGAAGGCUCAGUUGAAUCAAGAGUUCGAGAUGAAAGAUCUAGGUGAGGCCAAGAAGAUUCUCGGCAUGGAGAUAAGUAGAGAUAGACCGAAAGGCAAGCUCUGUUUAAAUCAGAAGCAAUAUCUGAAAAAGGUAUUACAAUGUUUUGGUGUAAAUGAAAACACAAAACAUGUAAGUACCCCACUUGCUUCUCAUUUGAAACUUAGUGCUCAAUUAUCUCCGAAGACUGAAGAUGAAAGAGAAUAUAUGGCGAAAGUCCCAUAUGCUAAUGCAGUUGGGAGUUUGAUGUAUGCGAUGGUGUGUACGAGGCCUGACAUUUCACAAGCUGUUGGAGUUGUGAGCAGGUAUAUGCAUGAUCCUGGAAAAGGACAUUGGCAAGCUGUGAAAUGGAUUCUACGGUAUCUUCGAAAAACUGUAGAAGUUGGUUUAAUUUUUGAACAGGAUGAAGCACUUGGUCAGUUUGUAGUUGGAUAUGUUGAUUCCGACUUUGCUGGUGAUUUAGAUAAAAAUUGUUCAACUACGGGGUAUCUGUUUACUCUUGCGAAAGCCCCAGUGAGUUGGAAGUCUACCUUACAGUCUACAGUAGCUGUGUCUACUACAGAGGCAGAAUAUAUGGCAGUUACUGAAGCUAUUAAGGAGGCUAUUUGGCUUAAUGGAUUGUUGAAAGACUUAGGAGUUGUUCAAAGUCACAUAAGUUUAUAUUGUGACAGUCAGAGCGCUAUUCAUUUAGCGAAAAAUCAAGUCUAUCAUUCAAGAACCAAGCAUAUCGACGUAAGAUAUCACUUUGUGCGGGAAGUCUUUGAAAAAGGAAAAAUUCUACUUCAGAAGAUUCCGACAGCAGAUAAUCCCGCAGAUAUGAUGACCAAUGUGGUAACAACAAUCAAGUUUAAUCAUUGUUUGAACUUGAUUAACAUCCUGAGAAUUUGAGCACCUUCAGGUGUAUGGCGCUCGAGAGCGCAUUUGUAGGCACUACAAAAGAUAGCUUUAUCGAAUUUGAGGAGUUGAAGGAAGUGUGUGAAGAUGUGAUUAUCCUAAUCAAAUCUUCAAGGUGGAGAUUGUUAACAUUAAUGGGAGACAAUAUUAAUGGCAAACAAUACAAAGUGGUGCAAGUUUAGCACCCUAAAGUUGACUUUGAAAAAGUGGCAUGGGAUAAUUUUUUUUGGUCCUUGAGAUAAUGGGCUAUUUAUUGUUUGGUCCUUGAACCUCAACUAUAAAUAGGCCUUCUCAUUUCUCAUUUCAAUUCAUCCCAACCAAUCUUUCUCUCUUAGUUUUCUCUCUUCUCCCAUUUGAGAAUUCUUAAGGAAUUCUAUUUGUUUGUAAUACUUUGGAGAUAGUAAAGUUAUCAUCUGGUGUUAGUGCCCGAGGACGUAGGUAUAAUUUACCGAACCUCGUUAAAACUCUUGUGUUCUUUCUUGUCCUAUUUUUCUUUCAAUAUUUGAGGGUAUAAUAGUAGUAUUUAAUUGUGCUAUUAAAUUACUAUAAAAGGGAUAUUCUGACUAAGGAAAGACUUGGUAUUUAAGAGAUCCUUGUGAUCCACCUCUCUUCCCUGGGAAUUGAACUUUGUGUGAUUUUUUAGUACAAUAAUUUACACGCUUCCGACCCUAUUGGAACAACACCCUUCUUAUGGCAGCCAGGCAAAGCUAUCUUGGAACAGUUUUAAAGAUUCUCUCUUUAUGUCCAGAUUGUUGUGAAAAAGUGGACAACAAAGGUUUGAAUUUACUUCAUUACCUGGUUUUUAGAGGUGCUUUCUCUCCGUUAAGAGUUUCUCUUUUCGAGCUUGGUGUCAUUGAGACUGUAUAUGGAUCAUUCAGAAAUCUAAGGGAGUUGGAAGGUGCCUUUGAAAUGACACCUCAAGAAGUUUAUUAUGCACUUCGAUCUAAGAAACAACAUCAGAAACAGGUGUGUGUGUAUAUAUUGUAUUUCCAUGGCUAUGGUUUUAUUAAUAUUUAAGUUUUGAAUUAACAUAUUUAAUAAAUCUUCAAUACAAUCAGCUAAUGUGGGUGGCAUGGCAGAAGCAAAUCAAUGAUUUGUUGGAAGAAAUUGAGACUGAUCAAGUGGCGGAAGACCCAGUUCGACUCAAUCUCUUGCCUACUAUCUCUGCAGAAAGCUUGGAGAAGACAAGAGAUGCUCAUUUAGUAGUGGCAACACUUAUAGCCACCAUCGCAUUUACAGCGGUAAUAACUGUUCCCGGUGGUUUGAAUAGCGAAAAAAGGGUCAGAGCAAGGCGCUCCCCUUUUGAUUGAUGAGGCAGCCUUUAAAGCAUUUGUUGUAACAAAUGCAUUGGCCUUUAUUCUCUCUAUUUCUGCCAUCUUCAUCCACUCCGGGGUUCUGGGUAAUAUGUUAUCAGGAUUUAAGUUUGGGCAUCGGAUAGUUUUAUAUCGAACUUUGUCUGUUUCUGGGAUCCUUUUCUAUGCAACGUUUGCAAUGUUGAUUGCUUUCAGCACAGGUAGUUAUGUAGUCUUAAAACCUUCCCACGGACUUGCCAUUGUUUCAUAUCUCAUCUACCCUGCCUUUUUUGUCUUUAUGUUGCUAAUUUUGAAUCUUACAUCAUAUAUGUAACAUAUAAAUAUGAUAAUAUUACUUGAUCAUGGAUUACUAUUCUUCCAAUUCCUAGUGUCAAUGUUAUCUCUUUGAAGAAAUAUUACUUAAUUUUUUUUUUGAGAUAUAUCUAACUCAUAAGUAUUAACAAUCUCCAUUUAAUUGAAAUCAAUGUUAUUAGUUGAUAAAUACACAUUUUCAAAGAAAAUUAAAAAAAUUCAUAAUUUAUGUAAAGUAAAAUUUAUUAAAUAUAAAAAAAUAAUAAAUAUGUUGCAACUAAUUGUCCGUUAUAAUUAAAAAUUAGUUUAAUAAAUAUGAAAAUUUUUAAGUUCACCACCAAAUUUUGUUGGCUAGGUGUAUUCAAACACCUAUAAAAUCACUCUUUAAAAAGAAAAUUUUGAUUUAAAAAAAAUAAUUUUGGGUACGAUAGAAAUUCAGAAAAUAAAUAUUUAAGUUCAAGAGUUGAUCACGUGAAAAGAAGAUUUUAGCACCCAUGCCUAAAAUUGAUAGCUUGUUAAAUAUGUUCGUAAAUUAAAAUUGAUAUCUCGGUAUUCAAUUAAAAUCCAAAAUUUUGAUAAAUUAAAAAUAAAAAUAUGAAAGAUGUCCAGAUUGUUGUGAAAAAUUGGAAAAAAGAGGUUUGAAUUUACUUCAUUAUUUGGCUUUUAGAGACCGUUCCUACAAUUAAGUCAUUCUCUUUUCAUGACUGGUGGUACUAUGACUGCAUAUGGAUCAAUAAGAAAUCUAAUGAAGUUGAAAGGUGACUUUGGAUUUACAGCAGCAAUAACUCUACCUGGUGGUUUGAAUAGUGAAAAAGGAUCAGAGCAGGGCAAUCCUUUUCUGAUUGAUGAGGCAGCCUUCAACAAAUGCAUUGGCCUUUAUUCUCUGUUUCUGCCCUCUCCAUCCAGUUUGGGAUUCUGGAUCUUCUUUUAUGUUUCUAAUCUCCUUGAUUGUGCAAUGGUUGUGAUGGUGAUUGCUUUUAGCACAAGUUGUUAUGUGGUUUUAAAACCUUUCCAUAGACUUCGUACCGAUUCAUGUUUCAUUUGCCCUGCCUUCUUUGUUUAUUAUUACAUACAACAAUACCUAGCUCUCGUGAAGAUGUUGUACUAAAAAGUACUCAUAUUGUGUGAAAGACAAUAAAACGAAGAGCUCAUGGAGGCCCUCGUGAUAGAACAACUUUGCAUGCAGCAGUUAUGGCUGUAGAUGCCAGGCAAUUACAUAUGCAAAUAUAUUUAUUAACAACUUCAUUCCCCCCCCCCCCAAAUAUCUCUGUAUUAAACCGAAAGUCCAUGUGAUUCCAACUGUUAAGCACCAUGGGAAGUGUCGAAAUAUAUAGGAAGUAAUAAGAAUUUUAUACAUAAUAAUAAAUUUAACUAAUUUGACCUUUUUCAUAAUUAAAUUUAGCCUUUAACUUUUUAAAAAGAAUUAAAUUUGAUUAUUUACUUUCAAAAACUAUUUAAUUAUCGUUUUUACACUAAAAUAUUAAAAUUUUAAAUAUAGUAGUUCGCGUGAAAGUUGGCAUGAACUUCAUGUUAACUUUUUCAACUUUUAAAUUUUUUAUAAUUUUUAAAUUAUUUCUUGACGUGCCAGAUAAAUAGUGUUAUCCCACCGUUUACGAGUUUUUCCAUUCCUAUGAUAAAAAGAGAAACGAGAUCAGAUUUUAUGUAACAAAUUCUCAGCAAGUGUCCGUCACUGCUACUCCAAACGAAUGCUAAAGGUCAAACUCCUUCGCACCUUGCAGCAAGGUAUGGGCAUUCUGCUAUUGUGAAACUUCUAAUAAGUCUUGCGCAAAAGCUAGAGAUGGAGAUUUAGAGAAGCUGGGAAUGGAUUGAGUAAAUGCAGUGAGGGAGAUGCUGAGGAUUAGGGAUCAGGAAUCCAACACCGCUUUACAUGAAGCAGCACGGUGUGGCAUUGUCGAAGUGGUGAAAGCAUUGUUGGAGUUUGAAGACCCUGAUUUUCCGUAUUCUGCCAACAAAAAACAGGAGACUCCACUUUACAUAACAGCUAUGGCUGGGGAUGCAGGUAUGCUGUUGAUAUUAAUAAUUUUGAUAAAAUGUCUGCAAUUUGUUAAAAUGCAACCUGAAACUUAGAAACCUUUCCAGCAUCAGAAUUAACCGGAAGAGCUUACAUCAUGAUUUCAUGGAUUAUGAACUAUACAUUUAAAUUACAAAUUGAUAGAAGUUGUUUUUGUUAGUACAAAUUUCCGGUAAGUAAAAUUUCGAACACACGAACGAAACUUGAACAGCAAAUGAAGAAAUAGGACAAGGCUCUAAAGUGUGUAUCAAAUCGCUAUUUUUAAGGUUAUAUUCGCCCCACCUAUGUUUGAUGUGCAAAAGAGUUUCGAGCAAAUUAACCUUAAGGAUACAAUGAAGCCGAAGACUAUUUGCGUUUUGUACUGAUGAAAAUAGAUCGCUAAUCACUGAGCAAUGUAUAACAAAAAACUCAAUUUUUAUAAAGGAUUUUUACGGUAAUACUUUAUAGAAUAAUCUAAUAAUAUUUGAAGAUGGAGGAAGGAAAGAAAGAAUUUUAGAAUUUCUUGAUGUGAUUUCCAAAUAAAAUCUCAUUCCUAUUUAUAAGAAUUUUCAUGUUUCUCCAUAAACUCCUUAAGAAAGUGUGAAUUUUAUCCAAUUAAUGUUUUUGUUUCUUGUUUUGUUUAAUGAAGAUCAUAUGUUAGAAGCUAGGAAGCUCGACAAGAGUUUAAGCAUCCAUUUUGUUUCUUGUUAUUUUCAUUAAUUUCUAAUCUAAUUUUGAUUCCUACAGUUAUAUAAUGUUAUUAAUUAAUCAAAAUUGUUAAUACAAUUAAUUUUUCGAUUAAAACAUUUUAUAGUUAUAUAUAAUUUGAAUGUUUUAAGGGUUUUAGAGAUGAAUAUGUGACUCAUUAUUUCUUUUAGGUUUGUCUUACUCUUUUUUUUAUAUUAUAAGAAAAUGAUAAAAUUUAAUUUUAGCCCUUACACAAUGUGAAAAUUUGAGAUUUAAUCUAUAUACAUUAUUUUUUACAUAAUUUGAUCAUUCUACUUUUACAAUGUCAUUAGUUAGCCCUUACACGAUGUUGACAUCAAUAUUUUUAGGAAUACAAUUCCAAGAAAAAAUAUUCAUGACGAGUUCGAAUGAAUGUUCGAAAGGAAAAAUCUAUAUAAACAUUUUCAACGUUAUUUUUAUUUUUACAUGACUACCAAGUAGUUUUUUUUUUAAUUUCAAAAUAUUACACUAAUGAAUUUAAUAGAAGAAUUUUAGUAGUAGUAAUGAUUGGACCUAAAAUUUUAAAUCUAAAAAAAAUAGAGGGUCUAAAGUUCUAAAAAUAAAAGUAUGCUUAAAGUAUAUUGUCCUUUAAAUUUAUACUACAUAAUUUAAUACAAAUAAAUAAUGAACCCUUCGCGAAGCAUGAGACUCAUACUAGUUUAUGAUUAGGUUAAUGGGCAUUAAUUACCAAAUUUGCUAAAAUUUCUAUUUGUUGAAAUAACACAAUCACUAGUCUAAAACAUACAAGGUUGUGGAAUGCUUGUACUAUUAUAAAUAGAGGUGGUUUCUCCACUUUUAGAUUAUCCCGAAAUUUGUUGUUUCUUUCUUGUAAUUUUCUAUUUUAUCUUUUGCUGGGAAAUAUAUUUAGUAAUAUUCAAGGACGUAGGAAUAAUUUGCUAAAUCUCAUCAAAAUUUUAGUGUUAUUAUUAUUACUAUUUUCUCAAUAUUUUGUAGAGUGUAUUUGAAGUGAUAUAUUGGACUUUAAGCGGGGUCAUCUGUGACCCUUCCAAUCUUUGUUGGGAGUUGAACAAGUAUUUUUUACGACAAUAAUUUACUCUCUUUUAUCCUAUUCACACGACAUUAUUAACUCUUUAUGAUUAUACUAACAGUCUUAUUUUUCUCUUUUGAUAGUAAAAAAGUAGCAGCAAAAUGCUUCAAAACAAACCAAAUCAAAGACUAAACUUGUUUCCAUGGUAAGUAAGCAGCUCCAAAACACCAGGCGAUGGCUCUUCAAAAAAAUGCAGAGUAAUUCCCAAAUCAGGACCCAGCGGCGCCAUAAAGUCUGCAAUCUUAGUAGCUUCCGGUCUCUUCUGCAUAAAUUGGAAUCCAUCUGGCAAUAGCUUGGUCAUUAGUCGCCUCUUUAAAAUAUCCAUCGCCCCUCACAUUUUCCGAUUCAAUGAUAAGCUUGCGAUAGCCUUGGUGGCAGGCCAACAAUAUAGUAUUUUAAUCAUCUUUAACAACCUUGUUUUGGCCCCAUUUGAUAAUUUUAAUUAAUGUUUUACGCAUAAAGGGAAUUUGACAAACGAAAGAGAUGAAGUGUAUUUCAUCUGCCCUAUCAACUUUGUCAAAUUCCCAUGGACUUGCCAUAGUUUCAUUUUUGAUCUGCUCUGCUUUUUUUUUGUUUGUUAUUACUUACCACAAUACCUAGCUUUGUUGAAGAUGGUGUUGUAGUGAAAAUAACGAAUUUUGUGACAAAUUUUGCAUGUGACACUAAUAAUUGUAUUACCAUUUCGUCACUGUGAAAUUCUUACAUUGGAUCUAUGUUGUGCGGAAGCGUGUGAAAGAGUAAAAUUAUUGUACUAAAAAAUCACACUAAGUUCAAUUCCCAGGAAAGAGAGGUGAAUCACGAGGAUCACUUAAGUACCAAGUCUUUCCUAGCCAGAAUAUCCCUCUAUCGUAAUUUAAUAGCACAAUAAAUCACUACAAUCACACUCACAAAAUAUGAACAUUAAAUAGUAAAGAACACCAAAAUUUUAACGAGGUUCGGCAAAUCUUGCCUACGUCCUCGGGCACUACCAAAUAUAUUUCACUCCAAAAUACAAGUGAAACUUUACAAAUAGGGAGAGAGAACAAUGCCUUAAGUAGAGAAUGGCAAAUGUGGGAUGAUGAGAAUGAGCAAUGGUUGGCCUAUUUAUAGUUGAGAUUCAAGGGCCACCUUGCAAAGUCCCUAUUCACUUAGGGACCAAAAAUUGCUAUUAUCCCAUGCCCAACACUAAAUAAAUAUUUGGUGCCCAUAACUUUGACCUUUCCAAGGUAUGGGUAGGUAUGGGAAAGGUAUGGGCAAGGUAUGGGAUAUAUUCUAAUAAUCUCCACCUUGAAGAUUUGAUUAGGAUAAUAUUAUCUUCACACAAUUCUUUUUGCCUUUGACAACAAUACUUGAUAGUGCCUUCUUCGACUGUUAAACUUGCAGGAUAUUGAUCAAGUUCAAACAAUGUUCGAACUUGGUUGCUGUUACCACCUUGGUCAUCAUAUCUGCGGGAUUAUCUGCAGUCUUGAUCUUCUGAAGACAAAUUUUCCCCUCUUCAAUAAUUUCCCGCACAAAAUGGAAUCGUACGUCGAUAUGUUUUGUACGUGCAUGAUAGACUUGAUUCUUUGCUAAAUGAAUAGCACUUUGACUAUCACAAUACACGUUAAUAUGCUCCUGAACCAACCCCAAGGUUUUAGCCAUACCUUGUAACCAAAUAGCCUCCUUUACAGCCUCUGUUACAGCCAUGUACUCGGCUUCUGUGGUUGACAACGCAACUGUAGACUGUAGUGUAGACUUCCAACUUAUUGGUCCUCCAGCAAGUGUAAACACAUAACCGGUGGUUGAUCUUCGCUUGUCCAAAUCACCGGCAUAGUCAGAAUCAACGUACCCAAUAACACCUUUACCAAGUGUAUUAUCCUGCUUGAACAGUAAUCCAACAUCUACGGUCUUCUGAAUAUACCGUAGAAUCCAUUUCACAGCUUGCCAAUGUCCUUUUCCAGGAUUAUGCAUAUACCUGCUCACUAUACUAACUGCCUGUGAAAUGUCGGGUCUUGUACACACCAUUGCAUACAUCAAGCUACCCACUGCAUUAGAAUACGGAACUUGCAACAUGUAUUCUCGUUCCGUAUUCGUCGAAGGAGAUAGUUGUGCAGAAAGCUUGAAAUGAGAAGCCAACGGGGUACUUACAGGUUUUGUCUGCUCGUUCAUGCCAAACUGCUGUAGUACCUUUUUCAAAUACUGCUUCUGAGACUAGCUAACUCUAUCAUGAGCUCUAUCUCUCCAUAUUUCCAUGCCGAGAAUCUUUUUAGCUUCUCCUAGAUCUUUCAUCUCAAACUCGAGAUUGAGUUGAGUCUUCAAUCUUUCAAUCUCAACUUUGCUCUUAGAUGCUAUUAGCAUAUCAUCAACAUAUAAGAGCAAGUAUAUGAAAAUUCCUUCUUGUAGCUUCUGAAGAUACACGCAAUGAUCAAAUUUACUUCUUGUGUACCUUUGCCCUUUCAUGAACUGAUCAAAUCGCUUGUACCACUGCCUCGGAGAUUGCUUCAAUCCAUAAAGCGACUUUGUCAGUUUGCAAACCCAAUUUUCUUUUCCAGCAACCUUGAAUCCAUCUGGCUGAGUCAUAUAGAUUUCCUCUUCCAAAUCACCGUGUAAAAAUGCGGUCUUCACAUCAAGCUGAACUAGUUCAAGAUCAUAUUGCGCAACCAAGACUAGCAAAAUCCGAAUAGACGAAUGCUUCACAACUGGAGAAAACACUUCAUUGUAGUCUAUUCCUUCUUUCUGAGCGUAACCCUUUGCUACUAAUCUAGCCUUGUAUCAAAUUUCAUUUUUAUCAGGAAAUCCUUCCUUCUUUGCAUAUACCCAUUUGCAUCCAAUUGCCUUCUUUCCCUUGGGUAGUGUCACCAACUCCCAGGUCUUAUUUUUAUGAAGAGACUGCAUUUCUUCAUUCAUUGCUUGCUUCCACUUUACACCAUCAGGGUUACUUAUUGCUUCUGUGUAAGUAGAAGGAACAUCAUCAUCUGCAAUUGGAAGUGCAUAGGCCACUAUAUCAUCAAAGCGAGCAGGCUUACGAAUCUCUCUUCUUGGCCUCCUAUAUGCAAUUGAAUCUUGUUGCUGUAGAGGUUCUUGGGUAGGAACCUCUUCAUCAUUUGUCCCUUCAAUAUUAGCUGGAUCAUCGUUAACCUUUUCAAGCUCCACCUGCUGCAAAGUACUACUGGUUUUGCCAUCCUUUUGUGAAUCCUUGUACUUUAACAUGGUUGAUUCAUCAAAAGUCACAUCUCUACUGAAAACAAUCUUCCUUGUAUCAGGACACCAGAGACGAUAUCCUUUUACUCCAUCAGUUAUACCCAAGAAUAAUGCUUUCUUUGCUCUUGGGUCUAACUUAGAUUCUUUUACAUGAUAAUAUGCAGUGGAACCAAAUACAUGCAAAGAAUCAUAAUCAGUAGCAGAUUUACCAGUCCACAUCUCCAUAGGAGUUUUUCCAUUUAUUGCAGCUGAUGGCAAACGGUUAAUUAGAUGGCACGCAUAUGUAACUGCCUCAGCCCAAAAUUCUUUGCCCAAUCCAGCAUUGGACAACAUACAUCGAACUUUCUCCAGUAUAGUUCGAUUUAUUCGUUCUGCCACCCCAUUUUGCUGUGGUGUAUCCCGAAUAGUGAAGUGUCGCACAAUGCCCUCAUCUUGGCAUACUUGUAGAAAUGGAUCGUUUUUGUACUCAGUACCAUUAUCUGAUCGAAGUCGUUUGACCUUUCGACCAGUCUGAGUCUCCACCAUCUUCUUCCAUUUCAGAAAUGCAUCCAAAACUUCAAUUUUUCUUUUCAUUAGAUACACCCAUACUUUUCUUGAAUAAUCAUCAACAAAAGUAACAAAAUAGUGCAUACCUCCCAAAGAAGCUACUUUGGUAGGUCCCCACACAUCACUGUGAACGUAGUCCAAAAUUCCUUUCGUAUUGUGAAUUGCUGGACCAAAUUUUACUCUCUUCUGCUUGCCCAGAACACAAUGUUCACAGAAUUCCAUUUUGCAAGAAUUUGCACCUUUCAAUAAGCCUUGCUUCACCAAUGUCUGCAAAGCUUUUUCACCAGCAUGUCCCAAUCGCAUAUGCCAUAAUCUGGUAGCCUCUGAAUCUACAUCUUUUGUAGAAACUGUUGAUGUUGAUCCAAUAACUGUACUUCCAUUUAAAAAAUACAAGUUAUUUCUUCUUGUGCCUUUCAUCACUGUCAGUUGCCCAGCUACUACUUUUAGUAAUCCAUCUCUCAAAGUGAUUGUGAGCCCUUUAGAUUCUAGGGCACCUAAUGAGAUGAGAUUUUUCUUCAGGCUAGGUACGCAGCGAACAUCUGUCAAGACUUGGAUUGAGCCGUCGUGAUUCUUCAAUUGGACUGUACCCACUUCCAUUGUCUUACAAGCACUAUCAUUGCCCAUAAGAACAAUUCCACCUUCUAGCUCUUUAAGACUAGAAAACCAGUCCUUAUUAGGACACAUAUGGUAAGUACAUCCUGAAUCCAAAAUCCACUCAUCCGUUUGACAUGCCAUUGCCAUGCCAACCAAGCUAAAGUCUGACUCCUCAUCAUGCUCCGCUACACAUGCAUUAGAAAUAGCCUUGCCCUUUUGUAGCUUAGGACAAUUCUUUUUCCAAUGCCCUUUUUCACGGCAAAAGGCACAUUCAUCUUUGGCGGGUCUCCCUUUGGACUUUCCCCUUCUACCAGAUUUGCUGCUGUGUGAACGACCUCUUACUGUUAAGACUUCUGCGGUUGUAUCUCUGUGAUCUCUUUUAUCUUUCUUUCGAGUCUCAGAUCUAUACAACGCACUACAGACUGCAUCAAAUUCACAUGGUCAUUCAUCGACAUACCGGGUGCAUACGUGAAUCGAUAAAGUUUCUUUUUCAUAUAAAGCCUAUUUUCAAGACUUUUCGUUAGAAACUUUUCUUCCAGUGUAUCCCAUAACUUCUUCGCUGAUGUCUCCCUCAUGACAGAGUACUUCUGCUCUUUGGCCAAACAUAGGCGGAUUGUACCACACGCCUGUCUAUUGAUCUUGGCCCACUCCUUGUCAUCCAUCUUGUCAGGUUUUUCUUCAAGGGCUAUAUCUAGCUCUUGCUGACAUAAGACAUCCAGGAUCUCACAUUGCCACAUACCAAAAUUAUUGGUACCGUCAAAUUUCUCUACUUCAAAUUUUACAUUUGUCACAGUAGUCCUUGCUGAUGACGAUGCUGCUGCCAUUUUUCUCCUCAAUCCCAACUACUGUAUACGUGAACAGUACCAUAUACGUGAAUAGUACUGUAUACGUGAAUAGUACCGUAAACGGUCGUAUUCCCCAAGUACGAACCUGGCUCUGAUACCAAUUGUUGUGCGAAAGCGUGUGAAAGAGUAAAAUUAUUGUACUAAAAAAUCACACUAAGUUCAAUUCCCAGGAAAGAGAGGUGAAUCACGAGGAUCACUUAAGUACCAAGUCUUUCCUAGCCAGAAUAUCCCUCUAUCGUAAUUUAAUAGCACAAUAAAUCACUACAAUCACACUCACAAAAUAUGAACAUUAAAUAGUAAAGAACACCAAAAUUUUAACGAGGUUCGGCAAGUCUUGCCUACGUCCUCGGGCACUACCAAAUAUAUUUCACUCCAAAAUACAAGUGAAACUUUACAAAUAGGGAGAGAGAACAAUACCUUAAGUAGAGAAUGACAAAUGUGGGAUGAUGAGAAUGAGCAAUGGUUGGCCUAUUUAUAGUUGAGAUUCAAGGGCCACCUUGCAAAGUCCCUAUUCACUUAGGGACCAAAAAUUGCUAUUAUCCCAUGCCCAACACUAAAUAAAUAUUUGGUGCCCAUAACUUUGACCUUUCCAAGGUAUGGGUAGGUAUGGGAAAGGUAUGGGCAAGGUAUGGGAUAUAUUCUAAUAAUCUAAAUUAUGUAAUAGUGACAAUAUAUAAAUAUUCCCUGUUGUAAUAUAAUUAUUUUUGGCCAAAUCACAUUCAGAUCCUAGUUAAUUUAUAUAAAAAUCAUAUAAACCAAAAAAUUUACUUUGAAUUUUGGUUUUCUUAAAAUUUAAAUGGUGGGGUCUUAGUUGGGUUACGUAUAUAUUGGUUGAAAAUUUCUUCGUAAUGUUAUUGUGUUUCGUUCUAAAAUUACACAUUAGAUGUUUAUAAAGCUUAAACAUAAACCCUUGAAUUUUUUAUAAUGAAGUGAACAGAAGUUAAUUCUAAGUUUUCUAAAUAGAGAUAAUCGAUUUUUACAAAAAAAAAAAAAAUACUGUCUGAAAGACAGUAGAAAGAAGAGCUCAUGGAGGCCAACUUUGCAUGCAGCAAUUCUGGCUGUUAAAUCUAUAUAUUAAACCAAAGUCGAUGUGGUUCCAAGUGUUGAGCAGCAUAGGAAGUAAUCAAAAUAUAUAUGUCGCACUGCAAGGAAUUCAAGGCUGCCUUGUCCACAAAGGCUUAUAGCUGCUAAGCACCAGCUCUUAAAUUUGAUUAUCGCCUAAUAAACAACAUAGGGCAUCAUUGACUUCACCACAAAGAGCUGUAGACCUCAUUUUCUUCAAUUCUUCUCCUUCUUUGCAGUUUCCUUGAAACCAAGUUUCACCAUAAAAAUCCUACUUUAUUGACCUGACCUCAAACCCUAUAUAUUACUUAUACUAAAUUGUUCAAUUAUAUAUAAUGUUCAAUUAACCAUAAAGAGCUGUCCACCCCUUUUUCUUCCAUUCUUCUCCUUUGCAGUUUCCUUAAAACUAAAUUUCACCAUAAAAAACUCCCACUUUAUUGACCUGAUCUCUAACCACAGAUUGUCGUUUUGUUUAAUGAAUAAAUUUAAUAAAGCACAAAGGCAAUAAUAGUAUCAAUUACAUCAUUAAUUCUUUCAUGUAAAUUUUAUUUAGUAAAUAAAUCUUAAAAAAUUUAGAUUAUCUUUUAGGUAUAAUGAUAAAUUCAAUUUUAAACAAUUUUUUUGUUACUUUAAUCUUUAUUUUUUAAGUCAAAUUAAGCGUUCAAACUUAAAAAAAUAAAACCAUUGAAAGUUAAAAUUUGCACCCUGCGAAAUUAAUUUGGUGGAAGCAUGCGCUUGUGCGCAUUAUCUGUAAAGCAUGUUCAAAAAUGAUGGAUUUGAUUUAGUAUUUUAACCAUCUUUAGCAACUUUUUUUUAGUGCCAUUUAAAAAGUUUAAUUUAGUCAUUAAUUGUUGAUGUUUUGAGAAAUUAAGAAAGCAGAACAAAGGCUUAUAGCUGCAAAGCACCAGCUCUUAAAUUUGAUUAUGGCCUAAUAAACAACAUAGGGCAGCAUUGACUUCACCACAAAGAGCUGUACACCCCAUUUUCUUCCAGUCUUCUUCUUUGCAGUUUCCUUAAACCCAAAUUUCACCAUCAAAAACUCCUAAAAAUGAUGGAUUUGGUGCGCCUACUUUUCAACAAUCUUUAGUAUUUUAAUCAUCUUUAGCAACUUUGUUUUAUGGCCAUUUGCUUUCCUUUUCGUUACAAUUAAGUCAUCAUAUGGUAAUAACAUUUAAUGUAAGUUAUACAAAUAAUCAUUUAAUUAUUAGCACAUUAUUAUUUUGGCCACUCAUGUUACAAAUAGUCUAAUUGAUAUUUUUGUCAUUCCUCAUUCAAUCAUUUAUAGAAUGCUGAUGCAACUUUUUUUUUAUUGGCAUAUUAAUAAAUUUAACCUUUCAAUCUCUAUAAAUCCCAGUAAUUUGAUCCUAAUUCUAAAAAACAAAUUUGGCCGUUAACUUUACACAUUAUGUUAAUUUAAUCUUGAUUCUUAAAAAUUUUAAAAAAAAACUUAAAAAAAUAAAAAUAUAUAUUUAAUUUUUUUCUAUAAAAUACAUAUACAAAAUUAUAAAAUACAUACAAAAAUAUAAAAAUGUUUAUAAAUAAAUGAAUACUAAUUUUAUUUCUUCAAAGAAAAUCUAGGGUUUAGUUUGAAUGAGUCAAAAUUAACUAACAUGACCAAAAUUUAGUGUGUAACAGUUUUCUGAGCUACCAAACACUGUCUUAGAAUAAAAAAAGAACAUAGGGGAGAAUUAACUUGACCACGAAGAGCCGUAGACCCCAUUUUCUUCCAUUAUUUUCUUUAAUUCUUCUCCUUCUUUGCAGUUUCCUUAAAACCAAAUCUCACCAUAAUACUUUAUUGACCUCACUUCCAACCCAAAUGCCACUAUUACUAAAGUGUUCAACUAUAUAAAGUUUUCAUUUGUUGGUGACUUGAAUGCAGGCAUAUGCAAGCAAGUAACUAACUGGAAAGGAAUUUGGUAAAUUUCUGAAUUUGCAGUAUGUUUUUUCUUGAGCUUGGAAUGCUUCAAGCUAAUUAAUUAAAUUCUGUUUGGUGUUUUUAUCCAGGAAGAAAUAGAUCCACAAAAAUGGAACCUCGGGAGCCUGAACAGAACAUCACUCACAUGGAGGCUUCGCUAUAUAAUGCAGCAGCACAAGGCAACAUUGAAGUAUUCAAUAAUAAACAGGGGCUUCAACUUGAGUCGCUAAAGACCCCAAACCAAGACAACGUGCUCCAUGUUAAC